AAAGGCGCGCAGCGGAGCCCGCGGCGGCUCUCUCGCGCUGCUGGCCUUCUGGUUCAGCCUCCUCGCCUGCCUGCCUGCCUCCCUCCCUCCCUCCCCGGGACGCGCUGGGGGAUCCGAUGACAUCACUGGCUGAGCUCUCCCCUCGCUCGCUCGCUCUCCCCUUGUAACUUCUGUUCUGGGAAGUGGUGCCAGGAAUAACCCAGUCUGUCUGCAGAUCAGAGGCUCCUAUCAUCCAGAAGGGAGGAGAAAGGGGGGGGGGGACACGCACGCCACACCACACACACACACACACACACACACACACACACACACAACAACUGCGGCUUCUCGGGCCUGCCCUUGAUACGUGUGGAUGUAUGUGUGUGUAUAUAUAUCUAUACAUACAUACAUAUAUAUAUAUAUAUGCGCGCGUGUAUAGGUGUGUUUUUUUGUAAUAAAGUCGAGCUGACGCGGAGAGAGAAAGGGAAAAGAGAAAGCGGAAAAGAGCCAAGCAAGAUGAAUGAUCGGUUUGAAUAGAAACACACGAAUCAGACGCCCUUUGGCUGUCGGAAUAUCUCUUUCUGCCUCUCUAUAUAAAGCAAUGCAGCAAGGCAUUUAAAGGCAGACACAGGCUUAGCAAGAGAGCAACAAGAAAUCACACACGGGCCGGUCGUCAACAACAACAACAACACCAGCGGCAGCAGCAGCAGCAAGAAGGGCGGCAGUUAGAGGGCUUUCCUCCUUCUCGGUGACUCCCAGGUGAGCUCCUGCUGCAAAUACUCACCCCCUUCUUUUUCCUGUGGGGCUCGAAGCAACUGACAACCCUCUGAGGUGGCCUUGAUCGCCACGGUCAGGGGUUUUACUGUCACUGUGGAGGGGGGAGAGAGGCAGUGUCAUGUCGCUGGUUGUUUUUGUCCACCCCCACCCCCUUUGGCAGUCGGAGAGCAAGUGCUUUUGCUGGCUUGCGUGCAUGUACUGAAAGAAGACUUUGAAAUAAUAUACACACACAGGGGUGAGAGCUCAAGGUUUUGCCAGCGGGGUGAAAAGGGGGGACUUAGUGUGUUCGGAUGGGUAGCAUCACUUAUCCCCCCCCCCCCGCAUUUCCCUGAACUGCUCAGUUUCCUUUGGGGAGAUGGUGCCGAGGAAGGAGGGGCCGGGGGGAGCUAGGAAUAUGUGCUGGUCUCCUUUCGCUGCUGCGCUGGGAUGCUCAAGCAUUUCCGAUGCAGUCGAUAGAGCGACUAAUGGAAGCCUUGAGGGCAGAGGCAGCCCUAGGCUCUGUCACCACCACGUUCUCGGGAAAGGCUCGGGUCUAUCCAGGGUUGCUUUUGCUUCGUGUUUAUAAGAAGUUCAUAUCUGGCAACCUUCGCUAGGAACCGCCUCCCCUCCCCUUCCCUCCCUCCCCCCCUCCAGAAAACCUUCCGUCUCUCCCUCACAAGUCGCCGUUGCUUCCCCCUUCUUUCUCUCUCUCUCUGUGCGCAAAGGGGAAGGUCUUCGCUAGUGGCCUUACUGCUAGGGAAUGUGGGGAAUACCCAGCAUGUAAGUGUAUGCAGAUGAGGCGCAGGCUGCCUUGCGUAAUCUCCUCCUGUGGGGAAGAAGUAUGUGCAUGGUUACUAAUGAGCAGAUGAGGAGGCGGAGGAAGAGCAGAGAGCGAGCAAGCGAGCGAGCGAGCGAGAGAGGAGGCGACGCGACACGGCUGCCGCUGCUGGGCUGAGGCACCGCUCUGCCCAUGUCAAGGUAGCUGGCGGCGAGGUGAAGGGGAGGGCAAGCCCCCCUCCGUGUGUGCGCGCGCUUGCUUCGCUAAGGGGGCCGAGGGGGCCUUGAAGGGUGGCGCGCGGUGUCCGUGUGGGGGGGACGGUUGCUGUCGGAAGGAAUUUCAGUCACCGCCUCCAAGGGCUCAGGGUGACUUGGCAGUAGCCGCCGCCACCGCCUGAAUUGCCUUCGGUUCGACGUCGUCUUCGCCUUGCGGCCGUGGGGCGGAGGUGGCAUGUGGGAGCCCCUGGAGGGGGGCCGAGGAGGAGGAAGCAGCAGCAGCAGCAGCUCGUGGCGGCGGCGGCAGCAGCUGUGCGCGCGGGGGAAGAGGAGGAGGAGCGCGCGCGGAGCUGCUGCGCGCGCCGUGGGGGGGGGGGGUUCGGUUUGCGACGAAUGUGCGCAGGGCGGACAGGGGUAAAGGGAGAAGGCUAUCUGGUGUGUUGCGCCUUUAUGUCUGUUCCCUGAAGUGGGUGGAACGUUGGCCCGUUCCGGGAAUGUUCCAUGACGUGUAAAAGCCACAGGAAGGGGGUUAACAAGGGGCUCUGCCUGCUGCUGCUGCUGCUGCUGCUGCUGCUGUUACUGCGAAAGCAGAUGUGAUCUCCCUCUCUCUCCCCUCUUCUGCACAUGGGCUCCCCUGAGGGGUUUGGAACGAAGGCGCUUUCGCCCCCCACCACCUCCGUCCUCCUUCCCUUCCACCUUCUCCUAUUUGAUUGCAGAGAAAUGCAUUUCUUAUAUAAUGCGUGUGCAUAUGGAUGUUUGGGUAUGAUUAUGUAACGCGCACAUCCAUGCUUGUGCUGAUUCCCCCCCCCCCCUUUAAGCAUCUACUUGCCUGAGAGCGUCCUUUGGGGGAACUGAAGGAGGCAGGCAGGCAGGGAUAGAGCCGGUUUCCCUGGCAGUUUCCCUUUAGAAUUUAUUACCCCUGUAAUGAUGGGAAGCUGGCAUUUCAAGGGGAAAUCCCUGGUUUAGACGACAAUUCUCCACGUUUAUUUUUCAGAGAAACACGUAUGUCAUUUUCAGGCUUCGAAAGGGGUCCCUAAACAUGAUUCUCAACCUGCAAUGUCCCUGAGGUACAAUAAAUAUUAUUAUACCCCAUGCAGUGAUGCACUAUACAGAGUGCUGUGAAAAAGGAUGGCAGCUCCCCUCCACCCAUGUUUAUUGUAGCUCUUAAGAAAAAUACGCAAAAAUGUUUCCCACCUAUCCAGUAACAGAGGCCUAAUGUAAGAAUCUGUUUAUUUGUUAUGAAUUAGUAAGGCCCUGGUCUCCCCCUCCACACUUGCUGUAUGCCACAAUAAUUUUGUUGCUUUUGCUUUUAGAUUGUGUAUGUUGUACAUAUUAAAAACAUGAAGCACUUACGUCAUUGUGUGUGUGUGUGUAUAUAUGUGUACGCACACACUUCUACUUUGUUGGGAUGCAGUUACUGACUCAUAUUUUUUUUCUCCUGAACUCAUUAUUAGGCCUACAUUAUCAGACAUAUGAAUUAAAUUGAAAUAUUGCUAUUGGAGUUUGAGUCGGCACAUGUGCGAAUAUAUAUUAUAUUGACAGAAAGUGAUCAGUUGGUGUGUUUUUUUCUUUACAGAGUUAAUAGACGUGUUUUAGAGAAUAUUAGCUAUUGUGUGCUAUAGUGCUAUACAAAUGUUAAUAAUGAAUGUUAAUAAUGAAUGAUGUGGUCUUACUAUAUGACAGUGGUUUCAGUGGAAUUGCAAGUAAAUGAGUUUAGGAGCUUUAGCAUAGUAGAGCUUUAUUUUAGUGUAGUAUAUUCUGUAGCUUGCUAAGAGGAAACAUGAUUUAUAGCCAUACUUUCAAGAUAAAUAAAUUAAUGUCUAUGCAUAAGUUUGCAUAAGUUUGCAGGAUGUGGUACAGUGUUACCUUUAUUGUGCUAUCUAAAUAAGGUUAUUGGUCCAAAGAAUAUCUGUGAGCAAAAGAUCCAUGGGAAUCUUGGCACUGUCAUUGGUAAAACACUGAUCAUAGUUGGCAUUUGAUACCAGUUCAUAAAAUCAAAUUUUUUUAGUUCAGUUUUUUUCUCAUGUAAACGUUCUGAAAUUUUGCUUGGGCUCCUGUAUUUUGUCAGUUUUUCAUUAAUAAAAAUGUAUUAUUGGAAACGUUUAUAUGUUUGUUGUAAAAGUUAUAUUUGUUUAGUACUUAAGGUUAUUUAAUAUUUCCAUUUCUUAAUCUCUGACUCUAGCAUUACCUCCAAUAUGGUUUUUGAGCUGUGUUAUUCUUAAUUUUAGAUGUGCUUUUAUUAGAGAUGAUAGGAAUUUGUGCAUGAAAGUUAAGAAACAGGAAGUUGUAUAGGUGUAGGGUUUCAGUGACAAUAUUGUGGUUGAGGUCUGAAAGAUGGCAGGAAUAUUUACAGAGCAAACCUGUGCAGGUCUACUCAGAAGUAAUUCCUGCUAAAUAGGUAUAAGAUUCCAUCCUUAAUGUUCAAAAAUUUAAUGUACGUAGUUAGAGAUAAUGUUUUAAUUCCAUAAAGCAUGAGUUGAUUUGGUUUUUCCUUACUGAUACAAUGUUCAUAAGACAAAAAACAAGAUCACAAAUUGAUCUUUUUUUUUAAAGGGUUUAUUUAUUUAUUUUUAUUAUUUUAUUCAAAGUUAUAACAAAACAUAUUAUCCAAAAGCAUGUCCUUAUUCCGCCCCAUUUCCCCCCCCCCACAAAACCCAUACCCCCACCCCACCCCCCCGACUUCCCUCAGUUCCAGUCUUUGGUUUCUCCAGUAAUGCUAUUUUCUGCAUGUUACAAAGUUGUAUAGAUCCUCAAACUGUUUAGCUAAUUAUUAUCAGUAAAAAAAAAUUGUGAAUGUUUAUUCAAAACCUGCCAAAGAGUCCAGUUCGCUUUGUUGCUUCUUCAGAUACUUUGUGAAAGGUUCCCAUUCAUCCUUAAAGUCACAGUUAUCCUUGUCCCGUAGCUUAUAUGUCAAUUUUGCCAGUUCUGCAUAGUCCAUCAAUUUUUCUUGCCAUUAUUCUUUAGUUGGGGUUUCUUCAGUCUAAGAUCACAAAUUGAUCUUGACAAAUCGGAUGAAACAAAAAUGUUUUGGCAUGGAAAUAAGGGAUUAUAUGCAUCACACAACAGAAUGUUUUUGGUAGGAUAGAGGUUUUAAAUUUUGUCUUACUUGGCGUACCUACGCAGUUUGUGUACAUACGCAUGUGCAUACAUGUGCACACACGACUGAGAACCAAAUUCUAGUAAAAAUACUUCAAACCUUCUCAGGAUCCCACAGUCCAUGCCUGUGUAGGCUGUUCUGCAAGCCAUUCCUUGGAUUGACAUAUUUUAAUACUGGCAUGAGAGGACAAAUUAUCCCAUGCUGCAUGAACCUGACCAUUGUACCAGCACAGCUGCUGCCUCUUGUCCUACCAUUGUAGAAGUCUAAAAGGUUCUGCCAUAAGUUUUGUAAGGCCAGCCUUGUGAAUGGUAUCUUUACAAGUAUCCAAAUAUAUGAGACACAGGAGUUAUUGCGGCAUAUGCAAAUAUGACUCUGCAUAUUAUUGUUGCAUUUGAGCUUCAUAGUAGCCCUGUAAAAUAGCUUAAGCUGAAAUACAGUGGCCUGCAUAAGGGUGCCCUGUCAACUUUGGUGCUAAAUGGGGAUUCAAAUCUGGGUUUCCCACAUCCAAGCUGCACACUCAAGCCACAUCACACUGGCUCCGUCUGUGUGUUUAAUAUAUGUAUUUUUGCACACUCUUUGCUUCCAUUGGGCGGGAAAGGUUUUUGGUAGACUGUUGAUAAAACAGUGUGGCUACGUUGAAGAAGCAAACCACCGGUUAAUUUAAGGUAGACCUUGUGAGGCCUAGGGCCAGGUGGGGCUGAAUAUACUGUUGACAGUCUAUAACAAGUGAAGCAUGGAUGUGGGGGAAGCAAGUAGGCUGAGAGUUGUGAAGUAGGAACAGAGCUGGGCAGUGUGAAAGUUGGGGAAGUAUAUCUUCUGUAAACCUUAAGAGACUCAGGAUAUAUUUGUUGGGGGGGCAUUAAGGGGCCAUAGAUUAAGUUGAAGGGGCAGGGUGGCCAAGUAUGGGAUAAGGUGAAUACUGAUUGGAUGUUAGCAGCUAAAUCACUGGCCGGAAAUCUCACUUAUGAAAGACUGUGACACAAAACGUUCCAAUUUCCUCAGUUGGCGUAAAUGACCAAAUGUAACUUGGCCAAAGAAAGCAAAUUUGGAAUAUAUGCUUCCCUAAUAUUCAUAUAAUUAAUCCGAACGCUGUGGCACCAAUGUAGAAAUGGCCCAAAAGGAUUUUGAUUACUGUAUAUUUUCUCAUGUGUGAGAUCUGUUUAUAGUCCUUGUUACCAUGAGGACAAAACACAGAAACAUAUGCAUGCAUGUUGGCUUUGCUGAGUAAUUGUGUGUCUGUCUGUCUUAAUAUCUUAUACUGGAUCAUUACUUAUAUUAUCUACUGGUAGACUAAUGUGGCCUUCCAUCAAGAAAAACACACACACCACAAUAUUAUGAGUUGAAUUUUAAUAGUUUUCAAUCAGUUCAGGGGACGUGGGGACGGACUAGUAAUCAAAAUAAACUUUGGCCUUAAAACCUUGGAGAUAUCCUCUGAUAUAAGGAAAAAAGCUAUCACUACACUAUGCACUUGACCAGAUGUAUAUAUUUUAUUUAUAUUGAGAAUUAAUGAAAAAUGUAAUUUAUGCAACCAUAAAAGAGGCAAGCACCAUUUUGCUUCAGUUUCCCCAUUAGUGGGGAAAAUGUCAAGUUAAUGUUUUUUAAAAUAAAAUAUGCAGCUUUUAUUCAAAAUUUUGUAUAAUUUGGAUUUUAUUAUUUAAAAGCCAGUUAUAUAAUAUGUCCUUUAAAAAUAACUUGAUUCAAAAUCAUAUCUGGAUAUAGUUCAAAUGCAUUAAAAUCUAUAUUAAUGAUAUCUUAAAACUGAAUUCAUGGCUGUCAAAAACAUUGUGUUAAAGGCUUUCUGUGUAAAAGAAGAGGUCAGGGAUGAAAUAUUUGACUUGAGAGGUCAAGGAAUGUAAAUAUGACAUAAAUGCUACAUAUGGAUGGUACGAUGAAGUUUAAGAUCAACCAUGGUUUAUUGUGACAGUAAUGUGCAGCAGCAGUGAGUCCCUAAGGCUUGUGCCAUCUUCUCUUAUGGUGAGACCACAAGGAGUUCAGAAGCCUUCACUUGUGGUUUUGAUCAGCUGCAGCUUGUAACACAAUAAAUUGUGGCUGAUCACAAUGUUUCCAACAAGGAAACUCCCAAGCCAUGGGAUAUGAAGUUGAACUGUUUCAAUAAACCAUAGUUAAGAUUAACCACCAUGGGAUUUGGAUGUAACACUAAACUAUAUUUAAUCAUAAAGGAAGCAAAAGCUUCUGAUCCCCUCCUUGUGGUUGUACUGAAGAAGGAAGCUUGAGGAUUCUGCUGCUCAUUCCCAUCACAAUGAAUCAUGGUUUAGCAUGUAUGCCCAAUCAAAAUAAUACAUAAUUGUGAAUAGCAUGGACAUUUAACGUCCAUGUUAUGGAGUAACACUGUUCUGCUCAAUAAUUUACUAUCUCUUCUCUUCUAAAAUUCUGUACACUUAUAAUGCAGUGGUAUGUAUGUCUAUUUAAAAGUAAGUACCAUUGAGUUCAGUGGAACUUGCUUGAGAGUAAGUGUGUUUAGGAUUACAGUCUAAGUCUUAUAGUAAGUAAUCUUGGUUUGUGGCUUUGCAUAUGUAUAGAGAAAACCAAACAAAAUUCUUGAUUAAUCUUCCUCUAACCAAUGUGAUACCUUCGGAUGUUCAAUCAAUUAAUCAAUCUCCUUUAUUGGCAUAGAAAAACUGCAUCAUAUACACGGAUCUCAGAACACAACACAGUUAACAAAACAUAGCAGAAGAUACUUUAGGAUAGAACUGUCCAGACAUCGUGAGUUACGAUAAUGGCUCCUAGGACCUAUGGUGACAUAAUUUCAUGGCGUCACUCAAAAAUCUUGCCACAUUCUCCACAAUGUUGUUACUACAGUGGUACCUCGGGUUACACAUGCUUCAGGUUACAUGCGCUUCAGGUUGCAGACUUCGCUAACCCAGAAAUAGUACCUCAGGUUAAGAACUUUGCUUCAGGAUGAGAACAGAAAUCAUGCUCUGGCGGCGCGGCAGCAGCGGGAGGCCCCAUAAGCUAAAGUGGUGCUUCAGGUUAAGAACAGUUUCAGGUUAAGAACGGACCUCUGGAACGAAUUAAGUACUUAACCCGAGGUAUCACUGUACAAUUGUUCAGCAGAUAAAACACUCUGGAAGAGUCAGUGUGAUAAACUCCCUCCUUCAUUAAGGGGGCCAAAUGCUUAACUUUUGGAUGUUAUUGUGUGCAACUCCCAUCAUCCCUGACCGUUGGCCAUGCUACUGGGGUUGUUGGGAAUUGUAGCCCAAAAACAUGUUGGCUAUUCCUGCUCUAAAUAUAUAUAAAUAGUAGUGCAAAAGACGUGCUUCUUGAGUAGUAUAAAGGCUCUAUUCUGUUGUGAACAGAUAUGGUUUAUUUAUUAUAGCAACAUAUUAGUAUGCAUAUUUGUUAAGGAAGUUAUUAAUAAGAAAGUUGGAAAAUUUAUUUAAUUUUGCCAUUUUUUAUUGGUGAUUUAAUUCAACCCACUCACUGUAGGAGGCUUGUCAAUAAGAUCAGUUACAUGGCAAGGAAGAUGAAUGUAAAUAUGAGAAAAGUAAUGUGUUUUAAAGUUUUUAAAAACAAGAGUUGUAUUCUUUGUAGGUGUUGAAAUGUAUUGGGAUUCCAUAUAUUGCUGCUGGCUGCCAAUCACUUUUGGGAACUGGAAUUAGAUGCUUGAUUUUUAUUUAGUAUUGAAUAAUACAAAUGCUUAUUCAGAGUAAAAAUAUUGAAUACUAAUGGUUUUCUUCUGAUUUCUGUCCUGAGUUAAAUAAUUUAGUAAACAUUCAUUCAAGGAUCUCCAUACAGGUUUGGGGCUUAUCUACAUAAUAUGGAAGUCUUUUCAUAUUGCUCCACGUGGUGUCUGUUACAUGGUGAGCCAUUUGCAAGCAGUGAUUUAUAGGGUUCUGUUUUUCACAUCACUACAAACUUGCUAAACCAUUUGUUGUGAUGUGGGGGGAAAUGAGUUGCUGCAGAUGAACAACUCAUCACAAGAUAAUGGCAGCUACUUAGAGCAAUGUAAAACUGCCAAAAUAGGGUUGCAAACUUCUGUUUGGGGGGCAGCUUUUUGGGGCAGCUUAUAGUAUAUUGCGCUUCAUUGGCAGUGAACCCUCUCUGACAGUGAUUGCGAUGGCACCAAAUAUUCAGUUGCACAGGGAACUAAACAGUGCAGUCCAGCUUCAGUAAGGGAAGGAAAAUUGCUAGUUUGGCUGGGGCUAAAACAGCACAGAAGGGCAGAAUGAAGACCGAGAAGAGUCUCUGGAUGUAGUGAAACUAAAAGACAGGGAGCUCAGGGUAAAGCUUAUGCUGAAGUAAGGGUGUAGAGCAGAGGAUGGAAACCGCAUCUGAAGGAAGUUUAGGUGGUGAAUGAGUUAAAAGGGCAGUGGAGAUGGGAAAUUGAGGCAAGAAGUAGUUGACAGAGGUGUAGUGUCUGAAGAAGCUUCAUAGUGCUUACGGAGAGGAGAGGCUGUACAGUGUCGGAGGAAAGAGAAAAGUGCUAAAAGAGCUUGUUCAAAAGACAUGUUGUUAAAGGAUGUGGGGCAUGGUGGAAAUGUGGAAUUGGUGGAAAUGUGGAGUUGAAAAAAUGACGAGCCAGUGGGAAAGUAGCUACACAGAGGGGCAUAGAGACAGGAAGUUUUAACUAUUGUUUGGAAAGAAGCUGGAAACGGGGGACCAAGGAGUUUAGGGCCAUAGGGUUCCCUGAUCUCAACGUGAUGCCAGGUGUUGCUGGACUGCAACUCCCAUCAGCCUCAGCCGGCAUGGCCAGUGAUCAGGGAUGAUGGGAGAUGUCUGAGAACUAUCUUUCCCUGUACUUUCUACUCUCUUAUAAUAACCACACUGCCAGGGAGCUGAUAAUGGCAGGAAGAGUUAAGAAGGAACAUCAGCAUCCAGGACUACAAGUUGUUUGCACUAAUAUGCUAUAGCCUUUUCAGCUUAGUCCACAUACUGACUAGUUGGUUAUGCAUGAAUUAAUACAGGCACUAUACAUUCAGUAUCUGACUGAGUUGGGGGGGAAGGGAUUGUGACAGUUUCCUCCUUGGCCAAACAUCUAUUGAUCUAUUGUAGUACAGUGGUACCUCGGGUUAAGUACUUAAUUCGUUCUGGAGGUCUGUUCUUAACCUGAAACUGUUCUUAACCUGAAGCACCACUUUAGCUAAUGGGGCCUCCUGCUGCUGCCAUGCUGCUGGAGCACAAUUUCUGAAGCAAAGUUCUUAACCCAAGGUACUGUUUCUGGGUUAGCAGAGUCUGUAACCGGAAGCGUAUGUAACUCGAGGUACCACUGUAUACCUUGUUUGAGACCUGGACUCUCCUGCCACUGACCCUUGACAGGCAUUUAGUCUAGUUGACUGGAGCGAACAAAAACCAUUUGUAUCCUUCCUUUGUUCCUGGUCUCCUGAAGUCUGAGCAAUGGGUGCUCUCUUGUUACCCUUUGCAUCCAUUUCCUGUGGUAGGCAUCUUUGCUUUAGAACCGUUUCCCAUCCCAGUGCAGAACUAAGGUUGUGCUGUUGCAGAUGCAUCACGGUGUUUAUUCUCUCUGCUCCCCUCCUACAGUACAUUCCUCCUCUAGUCACUGCUGUGGGUACAUGACGAAAUUGCUUGCAAAGUCGUGAUGAGUCCUUCAUUUUUCUUUGCUAUUUCCCAGUAAAAUUGGAAAGUCUCCCAACUGAUGUGUUCUGGCCCAUUAAUCUUGUAGGGUGGGUGCUGUUUUUUAAAAUAGAAAACCCAUUCUAGCAUUCAUAUCCAAGGACGUAAUUGUUCCAGACAAGUGUAACAGCUCCUGUCUGCCCUCCCCGGUAAGUAAUGGCCAAGUCAUCCCCAAAUAUCUGGCAACUUUGAACUUACCAGGCAAACAGAGGAAAAGUUGAGUCAGAUGGAAGUAACAAAUGCAACGGGAAAUGAAGACCUUUGCAGGGUUGAGGGUAUGUAGGCAUCAAUCUCCUGGUAGAAAACAACCAAGACCUUGGACUGAAGCAGGGCUGAGCAGAUAUGCUUGGGUUUCUCUCUCACUCUCUUGUCUUGUAUAGCUCUGCUAUGAAUUUAAGAAAGUGGAUGUUGCCUGAAUGUCUAUACGAACCAGAGACCACAAAGAUAUGGGGCUGUGUUUAGGAUAUGGCUGCCACAUGGGAUCUCCUAGGAGUGCUGCUGGGUGGCAGUGGCUCCACAUGGCAGUAAUGAUGUAUGAGAUUGGCUCACCACAUUAAUUCCCUGUUCAUGUUGUCUAGACAGCCUGCAUGUUAGCCUUAGCUGAGACUACUAUUGUGCGCCAUUGAUGUGUGGAGACAUGCUACUUGCUGCAAUUAUAUGGAGACUUGCAGCUGUAGCAGUAGCUCUUGCAUGUUGUGGGUACAGUGUGGAGUUGCCUCCAUAACAGUUUUUGUGGCAGUUUCUGCAUGGUGGCCACAAAACAGGAAUUGCAUGGAGUCUGGCAGACUGGCCUUGACCAUUAUGAACACAUGGUGAUUGUAACUGGCCCAGAUACCAGGCCUCUUUUCCCACCCCCAGGGCAGGGGCGAAACUAGACUUUAUUUCACCUGGGUCAAAGACCCAGUUUGGCACACCUACCCAUGUGCAUUUGUGUACACACACACACACACACACACACACAUAUGCUGAGAGACUCAGUGGUGCCUGUGUGGCUUUACUUUGGGCAAAAAAAAAAAAAAUGGCUAACCUCACCAUAGCUACGGCUCUGCCCCAGGGACUAGGAGUAAGCCAUUUGCUGUUGACCCUGUUCUGAAAUUGGUACUCAAAUUGGGAUCCUACAUACAUGACAAAGUGCCAAUGCUUCCAACUACUUAUUUCUAGAUUGAAUCUGGAGACAAGUUCUUUUCCCUGCAAAAAGACUUCUUUGCAACAAGUCCAUCACAGCUUUGUUUUUAGUAGAAUGUGAAGAUUCAUAAUCUUAUAUGGCUUGCAUUUUUUGCUGUGGUUGAUGUUUAUUCAGUGGCUCUUUUUAGAGUUUGCCUUUGUUCUUGUUUUUAUUAUGUAUUUUGUGCUUUUUUAUCUUGAAUUUCUAUGUUGUGAACCUCCCUGAGAUCUAUGGAUGGAAGGCAGUAUACAAAUUAUUACUAUUACGAUUAUGUUUUACAUUUCUUCUGUAUUGACACUUCGUGUUUCGUACUAUAUAGAAACUAGUUCAGUUUUGCUGAAGAAUGUUAAGCCAGGCCUCUGUGCCUCAUGAAGUGUGUUUAAAGCCUAUUUCUGUUUACAUUUACUUCGGCACAGUUUUGCUUUAAUAUAUCUGCAGCGUGUCACUUGAUCCUGGUCAAUAGUUCAAGUCCACAAGACAGGCUAUAAUAGUGGAGGACAAUUUGGAUCACAUGACACUUUGUCAACCAAGUGGAUUGUGGUUGGCAAUCCAAAGGAAGGAAUAAAUAGACACUGUGAUUAUUUAUGGCCUGUGUGUGCUGGAGCACAGAAGGUCCCCAUAUGUUUCAGGUUGAUGAUAUGGAAAAGCCAUUUAGUGUCAUGGUCUGGGAGGAAGGAUUGCAAAUAGUUGUUUUUUUAUUCCUUUUGAAUGUGUGUUUACAGGUUUAAAUAGUGUCUUCUCCUAAAACUGCUAUAUUGGAAAUUAUAUGUAGUGAAACCCCUUUCAUCUGGACCUCUGUAAUCUGGUCUUCGUUUCUAUAGAGCUUGCUGUUCACUUGACAAAACAUUGUGUUUCUUUCCACUCCCUUGCAAACACCAGGUUCCUGGACAUGAGUGAUGAGUGUAUGGCAGUGGGGGUAGGAGUUGUUUCCCAUACAUGCAGGGUCGGAUCUAGGGAAGUGGAAGCAGAAAUCUGCUAAUUCACUGGGGCUUUCUUUGUGCUGCUUUCCUUCCACAGCCUCCUGUGUCAAGGAACCCCUGAAAUGGGGUACAGCGGGGUGCAAGUAGCAAAAUUUGGGGGACCACCUUGGGUGAGUGCAAGUGCUUUUGUGCUUAGGCAACACAUCUUUGGAUCUAUCCAGCUCACAGCAUUUUUAAAAAAAUAAAGUCCUCCCCACUUCAAGACUGCAUAUUCUACUUUAUUUACCAUUACAACAUUCAUGUAAAGCAAGGGAGUAUUAUUUUUCCAUUGCUGCGGAUGAAUGACUAGAGUUAAGAUAAGCUAGCUCUCUGAAGCCUGCAUGAUUGUGCAACACCUAAGUUUUAUUAUUAGCAGCCUUCGGUUUGUGUUUGGUCAGGGUCUGCACUGGGAUGAAGUCCCAUACGAAUUUACUUGGAAAUGAAUGGGAUAUGUUUUUGAAUAUGCAUAAAUAGAUUGGGCUGUUAGUCAAAUUGCUGAGCAUAUCUGGAACAACCCCAAUUUGGGCCAAUAAUUAUUGGGAAUGUAAGUGUAAGCAAAAUUAGGAUCAUAGGCUGCAAGAGAUUGUCUGCCUGAUCAGGGCCACUUUAGAUGAUGGUGCAGACAGAAAGAUUUACUUACACAGAUGCAGAUAGGUUUGGGAUUGCAUAAGACUUGGGAAAUCAACCUCUGGUAACUGGAGUUUUUUGGAAACCAAAUUGAUAAUGCAUACUUAGCUAAGUGUCUUUCCCAAAACUAUAUUUAGUAAGACUUGGCUUGCUGUUGUACUUCAAAAAUGUUUCUUUAGAGCAAUUUGUAAUUUACAAGAAAGGCAGGUCUGAAAUAGAAAUAACCAUAGCAUCUUGUGAUGUGAUAAAAGGAAAUGUCUCUAGUAGUCAAUACAGAUGUUUAUUCCAUAUUUUCACAGAGUAUAGGCUGUCCUCUGUAUAUUCAUGAGGUCGUUGGUGUGUGUGUGUUGUAGAUGCUGAUGUUUGCACCUCGGUGAUAUGGUGAUAAUUUUAAUUGCAGUUCUGCUACCUAGGCAGAAACAGCCCAACAGACUUUAAAAGGUGUUAAGCUGUUUCUAUUUGGAUGACAAGGAAGAAAUCUGGCCCAGCUCCUCACUGGAAAAAGACAACUUUUGUCUCUCUAGAUAGUAUAGUAGGAAUCAAUAUUUUUGCAGUGAAUUUUUGCAAAAAAAAUUUUUUUCAACAUUCGAGAAGGCCAGAUGUUAGCAGCUGCAAUGCAUUAAUGUAGAGCAAACACUUAAUUAGCACCUUCCUUUCAGCAGUGCUUUUCUCUGGCAUGGAGUGGCAUCUAUGCUUUAUUUCUGUAUACUGUCAAUAAAUGAAGUGUAUAAUAAUAUUAGAUGUGCCAGCUAUUUGUAAAUGUAGUCCUUUGGGUACCAUUGAGAGAGCUUUUGAGAGAGCUUUUCUGUGUUAAGUGGUACAGGAUGAAUGAGAUCUACAUAAAAGCAGGCUGUGCUGUCCAGUGUGAGUAUGAAAUAGUGAUUGCAGCAGAACACCCAUGAUAAUCAGUGGUUUUUCCAAAGACUGGCAAUUCUUUUUAUACAUGGGAGCUGUUGCCUAUGCUUCAUAGCAGCUCCCAGGACUAUUCUAGAUUAUUUGAGAUCUAUGUUAGAAUUUGUUAGAAAAGUUCCGAAAGAAAAGUUCUGAAAGCUAGGUUUAUGGGCUUAUAGCAUCAUCCCAACCAUGUUUUCCUCAGAAGUAAGUCCUAUUGAAUUCAGUAGGCCUUAUGUCCAGGUAAGUGGGUUUAGGACUGCAGUCUUAAUGUUUUGUUUGCAUGAACUGGGAAAUCCUCCAUUCAAAUCUUACAUGGACAAUACUAGGGAAGUGGCUUAAGUCAAUGUGUUAUUUUCUGAAAUCUUCCCCUGUCCCCCAAUAUGGGUGUGAUCAUGAUAUUGGGCUCUUUUACAAGGAUUUGCAAUGAUUUCUGAGAUAACGUAUACAAAACAUAAAACAGUCAUUAUUAUUAUUAAAUGUUUCUUGAGUUAAAACAAAGAGAGCUGAAGUACCUUCAUUAACAUUACUGUGGAAAGGGCAAUAUGCUUUUCAGAUGAUACUUUAUCCAUAGCUCUAAAUAAUAAUAAUAGUAAUAAUUUUAUUUAUAUCCCAUCCACCUGGCUGGGUUUCCCCAGCCACACUGGGCGGCUCCCAACCAAAUAUUAAAAACACAAUCCACCAUAUAUGGUGGAAGGAUAAAGACAUUUUAAAGAGUAGCUGGGAAAGUUGAAAUUGACUAAAGAAUGUGAACAGACCUGCAUCUCUUAACCCAGUUUCCUUAAUUUUGUUCCCACAUCGUUAUACUUUGUAGAAGUACAGCAAUUUGAAGUCUGCACUGGUUGAGUGAUUUAUUGACAAAGCAAUGCUGUAUUGUUACUAACAGGCAAGAGUUAAAGUAAUGACUGCUGCAGAAACUCAGGUUGUGACAGAAUAUUGCAAAGUGUUGUGCCCUAUCAUAGAAUUGUAGAGUUGGAAGGGACUGUGAGGGUAAUCUAGUCCAACCCUGACCAAUUAAGCAUAAUAAGAAGUAAUUUGAAACAGAGAGAAUGCCCACAACAAUUGGGCAUUGUUGAAUAUCCACGUGUGCUUUCCAAUUUUUAACUGUAUGCCUUGGAUAAUGUGGGAGGCUUGGUUGAACGAAAGAAAGGGCAAUAAUUCAGUUGUAACCAAAUAACACUGGGGAAAAAUAUGCUGGAAUGCACAAAAAUAUAACCUUGGGCAAAAGAGGUCAGUUAAUAAGCAUAUUACUGAGUAACCAGAUAAUCUGAUAAACUAAAGAUCUGAACCUGUAGAACUAGUUACUCAGAGUUGGAAGCACUCUGUUUUGACUGCUUUCUUUAUUGCACACCCGGAGGUAUGUCAGUAGAAUUGCAAUAAUUGCGCACUCUAGAGUUUACUAGCUUGCUAGUAAAGACUUGCAUGUUAUAUAAUAUUUAUACAAUUAUGAUAUUUCCACUUAGUUCAGGAAUGGCCUAUAUAUUAGGAAAACAAUUUCAGAAACUUAUAUAAUGUUGUGUGAUAUAUCUGUACAUCAGUAACUAUCUAUAUAAAACAACAUACUGUGUAGGAUUUUUAAAAAUAUAUAUAUAUAUACAAAGAGUAUAAAAGAGAAGUCGCUUAUUUGGAGCAGUUUUUUUAAAAGAAAAAAAAUUAUAUCCUCCUCCAGCCACCACAAGCUUCCAACCAAAUUUAUAAGUAAAGGUUAUAUGAAAUUCUAGAAGUAAUGUGUAGCUUGAUACAGAAAAGUCAUCAUAAGUUAUUGAAACUGUACUGUGGCAUUUAUCCUGGUAGUACCAUGUUAACCUUUAACAAAUUGGUUUCAAGAAUGUGUAUACAAUGAAGUGGCAGUAUCUGUUUCAUUUCUGUGUGCUGAGAAAGCUGUGGAUUCUUACUAGAGCUUUAUGUUGAUUCUGGCCACAUUCUAUAAUUGCAGGUAUAUAAUUGUGCUAGCUUCCAGGGCUGUACUGUACCCAAUUUUGGCUCUUUUGCAGUGACGUUUCAUAGCUGUAUCCUCUGUGGUUUCUCUAAUGGUGUUAUUACAUGGAGCAGAUGGCAUAUUAUGUUGAAAAAUCUCAAUUUAAUAUAUAUAUACCGGUAUAUAUAUUAAAUCCUUUUGAUUUUCAGUUAAGAAUGCCGUGAUAAUCUACAAGUUUUGAUUUCCAUAUAGAUAUUGUUUAUUUGGGUACAAUUAUCUCAGGCCAUCCUUAUGCCUGAUUCCAUCUAAUUUACUUUUUUUGGCAGUGGGGUGGGGAGUAGGGAGAUGUACAACUGACUGUGUAAGCUGUAGCUGGCAUUUUCCAGGAUUUCCCAUGUUUAUGCACUUGCUGAUCCACUUUUGGGUUCUCUCCCCACCUUUCUUCUUCAUACUGAGCAUCAAAGGCUUGGAUGCCUCUGUUUUUCUCUCCCAAUUAAUGGAAAGGAGAUGUAAAUUCUUCUGAGGCCUGGAAAACAAUGCAAAACAGUAUUUCUAUCUUGGUAUACAGAAGUUGUUCAGAAAACUAUUGCAAGGUUCUGUUUUCUUCAGUUCUCUGAAAAUCGGUCUGAAUUCUUGUAAGCACAAAUCCAUGAGACUCUUGGGCCGUGGUUCCCAAUGUGGGGAACACGCCCCACAGGGGGGCAAUUGGAGAAUGAGUUAUUAACAGUUAAUGGCCUUUUAGGCUUCCUCCACGUGAAUAGUAGUUCACUUUUUGAAUAAUAAGAAUUAUAUGUCACAGGGUGGGGAGGCUCCAGGAUUUUAGAGAUGAUUAGGUGGGGCAUGGCCAAAAAAAGUUUGGGAACCCCUGCUCUAGGGUCUGUUAUCUCAUUAAGUUUUGUGGACAAACUCUUAAUCUGGUGUAGGUCUUGGUAUGUGUGCCUUCCUUCCCCUGCCUCCUCCUUGUGGAAAGAAGUAGCACAUACAGUGGUACCUCGCAAGACGAAUGCCUCGCAAGACAAAAAACUCGCUAGACGAAAGGGUUUUUUGUUUUUUGAACUGCUUCGCAAGACGAUUUUCCCUAUGGACUUGCUUCGCAAGACGGAAACGUCUUGCAAGUUUGUUUCCUUUUUCUUAACACCGUUAAUACAGUUGCGACUUGACUUCGAGGAGCAACUCAUAGAACGCGGUGUGGUAGCCUUUUUGAGGUUUUUAAAGACUUUGGUGAUUUUUGAAGCUUUUCCAAAACUUUCCCGACACCGUGCUUCGCAAGACGGAAAAAAUCGCAAGACGACAAAACUCGCAGAACGAAUUAAUUUCGUCUUGCGAGGCACCACUGUAAACUAUGUUGCUUAGGCACAGUACUUCCCAGUCAACCAAUCCUAAACUAAAGAUCGGGAGACCAAGGAAAUUAAAUUAAACCAAAUAUGGGUUGCAGCAUGGGAACUGGAUAUCUUAAGAACUCUCCCACCCCUUAUGUUCCUCAUCACAUGUUUCAGUAAUCAUUUGGGGCCCUACUCCAAAUUCCUUGACCUCAGGAGCCAAGGCUGAAUGUCAACUAGGAAUGGGCCUUUUCAGUUGUGGCACCUCUUCUGUAGAGCAAUAUGCUGACUGAAAUCCUUCAGGCUUCAUCACGAUCCUGCUUCAGGCUUAAACCCCCCACCCCCAAACAAUUGGUUAUGUCAUUUUUGCUGGCUUAGUUCUGUGUUAUUUUUGCGCUGCUGGAAUUUGUUUAACGUAUUAGAUAUUGUUCAUUCGAUCUUUUGAGUAUAUAUUGUGUCUUUAACUCAUCAUGUUUGUUCUGUUGUUAUGACUGUUUUUUAGCUGUCCUCUGUCUAUUUAGAAAAAUGGUUAGGACAGAAAUUAUAAAAAUAAAUAAAUAGUGAGAGAGACUCAAAAUGUUUCUUUAUGGGCAAUAAUCAAGUGGAAGGAAAUCAACCCAAACAUACUCAGUAGCUUGGCCUGCUGUAACCAUUCUGUUACUUUUAAUUGAUAUCAUCUGGUCAUUUUCAGUGAAACUGCUUGCUCCCUUGUGAAAUAUAUUUUAUUGUAAAUAUUAUUGUUGCCUAGGUUAUAGUUGAAUUUAUGAGACAGCAGCUAUGAAGUUGACUCUCCCCCUCCCCCUUAUUUUUUUUUCCCUGCAGAGUUUUUCUCAUUGUUUCCAUGAAUGAAAUGUUCAGGAAAUAUUGUAAGCUUGAACGUCUGUGGUUGCUGGGUGUUGUUUUUUUUUGAGCCCACAGUUCUUGAUUUUGUUUUGAAAUCUGCUCUGCUAUAGUUGGAGAUUUAAUUCUAAAACUUUCCCUGGGAGUGUUCAUAGCUCUUCUGAAGUACGUUCUACCCUGCUUUUCUCUUACAUCAGAAUAUAGGCUUAUGUAAGGCUUCUGUGUGUACAUUGUUAAUCUGUUUCCAUGUGUGAGAGUAAAAUAUCGUAUUUUUUGCACCAUAACACUCACUUUUUUCCUCCUAGAAAGUAAGGGGAAAUGUCUGUGCAUGUUAUGGAGGAAAUGCCUACGGGUGGCAUGCCUACAGAUUUUCCUCCUCUAAAAACUACGUGUGUGUUAUGGUCGGGUGCGUGUUAUGGAGUGAAAAAUAUGGUACAUGCCAUUGCAACAGUGAAGGAUAUCAGGUCUUCCCUCCCCUCAUUCAGUUGAACCAUCUCUGUACAAUUGCUGCAGUCCUUGCUGCUCAUGCGAAGUUCUUCAGUUGCAUCUGAAGGUAAACACUUGCAUGAGCUUGUAUUUGAGAGAGGCAGAGUGAAGAAAGGCGAAUGACAAUACCACCACAGCCUUCUUGCUGGCUCAAGGCACCCUUGCUCAGGGUGACUGGGUGUGGUGAGGAAAGAAGCUUCUGUGGUGAGCCACAUUCUGCUGGUUCCUUAGAGCUCUAUCUCAACCCUGUUGAAGUUUACAGAAGGACUUGUUUUGACUUCUGUAGGAGUUUGAGCAGAGAUCUUUCAAAAGCAGUUGCCUGUGCCCUCUUCGCUCAAAACUCGUUUGCAAUGUAUGCCCGUGAGAAACUAUAGAGUUUCAACCCCCAAAACAAGUGGACCACAUCUCCUUGGUGCUCAGGACAGAGAUUAAGAGGCCUGAAGAGAUCUGCUUUGAAGGCCAGUGUUUCGCUUCCUCCUGCUGAUGUGGUAGAUUGAACAAGUAGGUUGUGUGUAAUUGUGAUAACAAUUAUGUUGCCUCCUGGGUUCAGGCUUCAUUGCAGUCUCGUAUGUGCUUUGAACUUCCUCUCCCCACUCACUCCAAGCAUUGUCUCUUGGAAUUCAUUCCAUAGCCUUCUAUUUAUAUUCCACUUAAUUAUCACAGAGCAGAGUUAAGCUUGUGGGAUAUGUGAAACAAGCCAUUUGUUGUAUAUGCAGCAGGUAUACUCAUCUUGUCCUAGGGCCAAACUUUAUGUGAUGGGUCAGCUAUAUCUGCUUUAUCCAGUGUCUGUCCUUUCCACAUAUGAAGUGAAGGGGCUGAGGACCCAGGGUGGGGCAGGGGGUCAACAUAGAAAUAAGUAUGCGGAGCAAAGCCUGCCCCAUUCAUUCCCUUUCUGCAGGGUGUUUUUCUCCAAUCCCAAGCUCACUUUUAGGCAGGCAUGGACGUCUGCCCAUCAUAGAUGUCAUCAUUUCCCUAUAAGUGGGUGCACUUAGCCUGCAGGCAGAAAAAAACAGUGAAGAAAAUAGUUUAAAAUGGAUGUCAGAACAGAUGGUUUAAUCCUAUCCAUGAAGAACGGAGGCAUAACUAAUUAGCUAGCAUAGAUUAUAAAUAUUAGGAAUGUGUUCCUAACUGCAGGAUCAGUUCCACAGUGGAAAACAGUGUCCUGCAGAGGUUAUGGAAUCACCUUCCGUUACACUGAGGAGAACUGAUACAAGCUUUAUUUAUUUAUUUAUUUAUUUAUUUAUUUGAUUUAUAUACUUGCCCUUCAGUAGGUGUCCCCAGGGUGGGGUACAUAUAGCAUUGAAAUAGAAUAAAAUAUCAACAGAAAGACAUCAACAACAUAAACACUCAGCAUUACAAAUAGUCAUCAGCAAAACCCCAAAACAAUAUAGUUAAAAGCAGGCAAUGAAAAUUAACUCUGACUGGCUGGCAUAUUAUCAUCUCCUCCAAAAGGCCUGGGCACGAAAGCACAUCUUUAGCCACCAAUGAAAAGUCAACAGUGUCUGUGCCAGAUGCACCUUGGAAGAAAAGGGGCCAACACCAACAAUGUCCUAACAUUCCCAUGUGGUGGUUGUUGUUGUUGUGUCUGACUCAUCGUGACCCCAUAGACCAGAGCACGCCAGGCACUCCUGUCUUCCACUGCCUCCCGUAGUUUGGUCAAACUCAUGCUGGAAGCUAUCCUUGUGAUAGAAUCACGAAAACAGCCUUCCCUGCUGAUUGUAACAUACAGGCAGGAUGAUAUGGGAGGAAGCAUUCCUUCAGAUAUUUAGGUGCCAGGUCACUUAGGGCUUCAUAUAUCAACUUCAUUAGGCUCAGAAACAUAUCAUCAACCAGUGUGGUUCCUUCAGGAUGGGUGUUAUGUGUUUCUGGCUAGCUCUACCAGUUAAAAUCCCAUCUUCAAGAACAGCUUUAUGUAGAACACAUUGCAGCAAUCCGUUGUGGAGGCUGCUAUGGCUAGGCUGGAGCAGCCAUGGCUGUUGCUUGAAAUAGGUGUUCCUUACCACUUGACAUCUGGGCUUUACAUGACAAGGCAAGACUGAGCUGUACUACCAAGUUACAUACCUGUUUCUUCAAGAGGCAUGCAAUUCCAUCUAGAAUAGGCUUUCUCUCCAGUUCCUGGACCUGAGAGCUUUUCUCUAUAUUUUCAGUUUGUUGGCCUACAUAACUGCUUUCAGGCAGUGGUACGGACCCUGUUCUCCCUCACCUGUUUCAUGGGAUACAGAGAAAGAGAGCUGAGUGUAUUUUUGUAUUUGUGACACCUAGUUCCAAACCCCCAGGGAUCUCUCCCAGUGGAGAGAUCUUCGUAAAGAUGUUGAAAACCAUGGGCGACCAGGUUGAACCCUGCAGAACCCCACUGGAUAAUUUGUACAGGGUUGAGCAGUCUUAUGACUUUUAUGUUAUUACUACUGGAAGUGCUGGAGCAGAUUCACUGUGCUUGAUGCUCCCAGCCCACAGAGUUGCUUUAGGUGCAUGCCGUGGUCAACAGUAUCAAAAGUUACUGAGAGGUCAAAGAGAAGCAACGGGGUCAUUCUUUUGGGGGGUUUUCCCAACAAAGAUGCUCCAUCAGGUCUCAAAUCAGUGCUGAGUCUGGGCUUGAUGCCAGAUUGAAAUGUGUAAAGAAAAUCUCUUUCGUCCCAACAUCCUUGAACUGCUAAAUAAGGGGAUAUUAGUGACUGAGUGCUAGAUGUCACACUCUUCUGGAUCCAGGCAGGGCAUAUUUAUUUAAAAGCACUUCUCCCCACUGCAAAGAGUCAAUUACUGCUCUUUCUACCUAUCUUUAGAUAGAGUCUUCUGCUUCAGGUAAGUGGGUUAGAUUAGAUGAGUCCCCUUCCAACCCCAGAGUUCAAAUGUAACGCUGGAUAAGCCAAGGUAAUUAAUUUGUUCAGUCUGGAUUGUAUGAACUGUGGUUUCAGUGGGUCAUAAACCACCAUGAUAUUAGUAUUGGUUGUUUGAAUACUAUUUUAUAAGGUUCAAGAUUUGUAUUUUACUGUGACAAGCAGAUGGUGUUUUCCUACACCAGAUCUUUGCCAGGGAUGGUUUAAUACAGUUCUCCCAGUGACAUAGAUCAACAUGAGAUAAUUAACCAAAAGAUUAACUUUCAGCACGUGGAUACUUGUACUACAGCUUCUUACUACGUUUUCUGUUAACACGUGUAGCAUUUCAGCAAUGGGUUUUAACAUGCCCACCCCUAGUGCUUCCAUUGCUGUGUUUGCUGUUGACCUUAAAACAGCAAAGACAUAAUAUGCUUUCCUGUUUUUCUUCCUUUCUUACCGUUGCAUGAUUUUUUCUCUUUGCUCUGUGAGAUUACUUGUAUUUCAGCUGUCCUGGUUUAAGAUAUAUCUGCCAUUGGGUCUGUGAAGGACACCCUUUAUGUUGACCUCAAUCCAUCAGUGUCCUUAAAUGAACUUUUUCACUUUCUGUCAUGUGUGUGAAUGGCUCCCAUGAUUUUUUUUUUCUUAAUUGCUGUGCUGGGAAUGUCAUUUUACCUUCGGCUUUAUAGUAAAUUCCCUUAUCACAUUUUUGAAAACCUAAGCUACUAGUUGUUUUCAUUCUGAGUAUGGAGAAAGCAAGCAAACGUUUCAGGUUCAAAAUACAUGAGGAAUGACCAUAGCUCAGUGUCAGAGUACAUGUUUUGCACCCGAAAUUUAUUUAGUAUGUUAUUUCUUAGAUUUGCAUACAUUCGUACCUCGGAAGUCGAACGGAAUCCUUUCCAGAAGUCUGUUUGACUUCCAAAGCAUUCAGAAACCAAGGUGCGGCUUCCAAUUGGCUGCGGGAAACUCCUGCAGCCAAUUGGAAGCCGCAGAAGCCACGUCGGAUGUUUGGGUUCCAAAGAACGUUCGCAAACCGAAACACUCCCUUUCAAGUCUGUGGCGUCCAGGAACAAAAACAUUCGACUCGCAAGGCGUUUGGGAUCCGAGGUACAACUGUACUGCCCUUCAUCCAAAGAUCACAGGGCAGUUCACAACAUAAAAAUACAAACUAAUAACACAAAAUACACAAUAAAGCAAAAGCAAACCAAUAACUCUAUUUCAUGCUUCACUCUCUGGCAUUUCCAGGUACGACUGGGACAGUCCCAUAGCUGAAACACUGGAGAACUGAUGCCCAUCAGUGUUGACAAUGAACGAGAAUCCAACCUUCCUCAACUUGGUCUAGAUUCUAAAGCUUCUGUUAUCCUUGAUUGUCGAACUAUUGGCCAUGUUGAUUGAAACUGAUGGAAGUUGUAGUUAAAAUCAUGUGCAGGGCACCAGGUUAAAAUGGGCUGGACUAGAUGAACCAAUUGCCUCAUAUAGCUGGCUAGAGUGUGAUGCUGAUAAUGCUAAGGUUGCAGGCUCAAUCCCUGUAAGGGACAGUUGCGUAUUCCUGCAUUGCAGGGGUUGGGCUAGAUGAUCCUCAGGGUCCCUUCCACCUCUAUGAUUCUAUGACUCAGUUUGAGGCGUUUAAUAAGGUUAGAAUUUGUUAGUCCUCAGAAUUGUCUCUAUUCUUGCCUCUUGCCAUCUUCCAAAUGUUCAUGUGUACAACAGAAGGUAGUGCUAUAUACAAAGGCAAGAGAGUAUUUUUUGGCUCCUACUUGCAGCAGUUGGCAGUGAUUGUCUGAAUGCUUGUGAGGAGGUCUCUCUACAUCAGGAAACACAGAAGUGUGUUCCUCCAUUUCCUGCCUCAUACCUCAAAAACACAGGAGAUGAUAUUAAAAAUUGGCAUCACUUUUGAUCAUAACAUUGCCUCAUAAUGUCUCUUUUUCUCCCUUUCUUUCCCCUUUAAAUGUGUAGAUAAGACUUACAUGGGCAUGGAACUUGGAUUGCGCUGAGCAUCCAAAAACAGGAUUUUCUGUUCUUCAGCGCAGGUACGGCAAGCUGCAACUUGGCUUUGGGUUUCUCUGGAAGUCAUGAACGCUCCACACAAAAGCCCUGCUCUAUUCUGAGCAAAAAUAGUUUCUAUCAAGAGAGACAGGGUUUUGCCAUUGAGCCUGGCAAAAUGCAUCUUCUUUGUUUGGCAUGUGAGUGCAGAAAGUCUCUCUGUCUCUUUUGGCAGAUGCUUCUAUAUAACAAAGACAUGAGAGAACACCCUCUCCUUUCCCAAUACAUUGGAAAUGGUUGAACUUUGGCCCUUAAUUUGCUGACACCCUAAGGGAGUGUAAAGGCAAUGACGUCUUUACUUGUUUCAUCUGCACAACAGGAAACGCUAGUGGCCUCCCCUUCUUCCUGCUAUGAGAAAGAAGUGUGUCCCCUCCCUCCCUUGCCUUAGAGCUGGCUGAGACCUAGUUUCAGGUCUGCACUCUGCAUUGAGCUAGUCCUAGCACACUGCUGUGAUUGAUGUCUCCAUCCAGCACAACAAACCAAUCAGCUUGCAGCUACUGUGCUUUAGUGAGGGUCAGAAAUAAGAUAACCCCUCAGCCCUACCCCAUUUCUUUGAGAAAAUGUCAGGGGAGAAAACUACUGUUUUCUUUGAUGGGGAUUCCCCAUGAAAUAUUUAAUAAAAUACUGUAAAAGAAAUCCAGCAACUGGAAAUCUCCCAAUUAGCCCUUUGCUGGUGAUGCAAUGUAGCAGAAGCAGCACUUAAAAAUAAAAGGAUAAUAGGUACAUUUUAAGCUAAUGGUUGAAAGAGAACCCUGUUUUAAUAUGUUCUCUAAAAAUAUUAAAGCUGAGCAGAGUUUUUGUAUGUGAGAACCAGUUUAACCUUCCUCCCUGUUCCCUUUAAAGACUGCAGCUGUAAUGAAUUUUUCUGCUGUGAUGUGAUAACUAUUUGUUACAUUAUUUAACUCUCAAGUUUGAAUGUCUUAAUUUGACUAAGUUUGACUGUCAACGCUUGGUGCCAAUGAGUGUAUUCAGCAUUUCCCCUAGAAAAACGACUGAUAUUAAUAGUGACCAUUGGGAUCUGUGAAGUUCUGCAAAAUGGUUUGUAGGCUGAACAUAUGCAAACAAUAGCAUUGUGCACACACUGUACUUUUGAUGAGCUUGUGUAGCUUCUUUUCAAGUAGAUCUGGUUUGGGGGAAUAGGUCUGGAAGCUGAGCUGAGCUGAGCGUGGUGAGUUGCUGUAGAAUGCCCGUUGACCCUUGUCUUCCUUACCUUAGUCUAGCAAAAUUGGUUAAUCAUGCUUCUGAAUAGCAGUUGCUGGAAACCACAAGUGCAGAGAGUGCUGUUGUGGUCAAAUCCUGCUUGUAGUCUUUCUUUAGGCAUCUGGUUAACCACUGUGCGAAGAGGAUGCUGGACUAGGUGGGCCACUGGUCCUACUUGUGUUCCUAGAGGUUGCAUUGGGUCAGCAGUAGUGAAAAUACAUUUCAGCCAGUUCGAAAAAUGAAUUUUAGUGAUAUAUAGUGCUCUUCAUAAGUUCUUAUGCAGAAGAUAUGCUGGAUUGUUGAUAGCCUUGUCAACUUGUCCAGUGGCUGUGAAGAGACAAAUGAUCAUUUCCCAGUCUUCUUUAGGGAUUGCCAAUGUUUAUAUAACAAAAAAAGAAUGCCCAACAUAUCUGAUGGGAGUUUGUAACUGCUCAUAUGAUCUGGUUCUUGUAUCUAAAAUUCCUUUAUUUUAGGACGUGUUCAGUAUAUAUGGAUAAUGCCAGCUCUAACUGCUUGAUGAUAACAGGUGUAAUUAGUUAAAGGAAUGCUAUGUNNNNNNNNNNNNNNNNNNNNNNNNNNNNNNNNNNNNNNNNNNNNNNNNNNNNNNNNNNNNNNNNNNNNNNNNNNNNNNNNNNNNNNNNNNNNNNNNNNNNCCUCAGACAUGGCUGCUCUAGUCACUAGCAGAUUCCGACAGUGGUUGCUUUCGUAGUCGCUUCCAACAUAAAAGCUCCUUAACGGAAACACGUCUUCUGGAAUCUCUGCGUGACAGUUUCCGGCGAGGAGUGGGUGUUCUUACAGGAGGUUCUGAAACCUCCCCACUGUUUUCGCUGGAAGUGUCUCUGAGCCAUCCCUCCAGCUCAGCUCCUCUCCCCCUGCUGGUUCCUUCUUCAGCUGCUGCGUCUCUCCCAACCUGUGUGAGCCCUUUCACCUCCCUGUUGGUUCCCUCUUCAGCUGCUGCGUCUCUCCCAACCUGUGUGAGCCCUUUCACCCCCUGUUGGUUCCCUCUUCAGCUGCUGCGUCUCUCCCAACCUGUGUGAGCCCUUUCACCUCCCUUCCGUCCGAUGGCAGUUCCCUGACAUCCACCUCCCCUCCAGGGCCCCCUUCACCCCCUCUCGCCCCCUCCUCUACGGGCGGUGAGGAGGCAAAACCCGGAAUGAACUUCCUUCAUCUUCCGAUGUCUCGAACACUUCUCUCAACCUGUUGCGGUUCCUGGUCUCGAGUACACCUCCUCCUCAGAGUCCAUCUCCCCUUCCCCUUCCGAGUCCGGGAGUCCUUCCAACUCCUCCCCUUCAUCCAGUGGUCCCAAAGUAUUCCCUCCGGAACCUCUCCACAGGCUGAGGUUUCCUUGGGAACCUUUGAUGGAACGUUUCUAUCAAUACCUCGUCAUUGAUAUCUUCAGCCAUUACCCAAGUGUUUUCUGACUCCGGUUCUCCUUCCCACGCUACCAAAUACUCCACCUGAUCCCCCUUCCACCUGGCGUCGAGGAUUUCUGCCACAUGGCUGCUGCAUUCUCUUUCUUCUACGACCCGGUCCCAGUGGCCAGCCCUUCUCGUCCCCCUUCGUACGGUGACAGUAACGACCUGUGAAAUACUGGGUGCAGUUUCAUGUGGUUGGGUAACCGGAGCCUGAAAGCCACUGGGUUGACCUGUUGAAUGACCUCAAAGGGACCCAACCUCCUGGGUCUUAAUUUCUUACAACCUCCUUUGAGCAGCAGCCCUUGGGUUGACAGCCACACCCUAUCUCCCACCCUUAUGGUUUCACCUUCCCUUCGGUUCUUGUCUGCCUGCCUCUUGUAUUCUUCCUUCGCCCUUUCUAAGUUGAGUUGGAGCUGACGAUGGAUUGCUUCCAUUUCUUCCACAAAAUGCUCGGCUGCCGGGACGCUCCAUCUCUCCCCCUCUCCCCCUGGGAAAGCCCUGGGAUGACACCCAUAAUUAGCCAAGAAGGGGCUCAUCCCUGUGGACACAUUCUCGGCAUUGUUGUAGGCAAAUUCCGCCAGCGCCAACUUUUCUACCCAGUCAUUCUCUCUGUCAUUGACAUAACACCUCAGGUAUUGCUGGAGGACACCGUUUGCUCUUUCCGCCUGCCCGUUGGUUUCAGGGUGCCGGGCAGUCGAAAAAUUGACCUCCACCUGCAGUAAGCUCAUGAGCUUCCUCCAGAACCUGGAAGUAAAUUGUUUUCCUCGGUCUGAGACCACCCUCAAUGGCACCCCGUGCAACCUAAAAAUGUUUUCUACAAAUAACUUCGCUGUCUCUUCCGCCGUGACUGCAUGCGAGCAAGCUACAAAGUGGCACAUCUUUGUUAGUAGGUCUACCACCACCAUGAUGGCUGUUUUCCCUUUGGACUUCGGCAGAUCAGUCAUAAAAUCUAUCGACACUGCCUCCCAAGGUCGUUCUGGGGUUGGUAAGGGUUCUAAUAGCCCCGCCGGCGCCCGCCUUUCCCCUUUGGCUCGCUGGCAUUGCUCGCACCCUCUUACAUACUCACGUACAUCUUCCCUCACCUUAGGCCACCAAAAUUCCCUGGUGACCAACCACAUGGUUUUGUGUUGUCCAAAAUGCCCCGCCGUAGGGCUGUCGUGCAACUGCUUGAGUACCCUCCCCCUUAACUCUCCUUCAGGGAUAUACAGUGCCCCUUUGUAAUACAAAGCUCCAUUUCUUUCCUCGAAACCCCCUGGUUCCUCUCCAUCACCCCUAAGACCUCUGAGCUUAUUCUGGGCGUAUUCAUCAUUCUCUGUUUCCUCUACCAGUUCUCUUUGUCCCACCAAUGCCGCCCCACACACCCAGCGGUCUUCUGGAAUGACAUGUCUCUCUUGGGUGCCCCCUCCCCUCCAAAUAUUCAGGUUUGCGUGAGAGAGCGUCCGCCCUAAUGUUCUCUGGGCCUGGCACGUAACUAAUCUCAAAGUUAAAUUUGGAGAACUCCUGGGCCCAUCUCACUUGCCGUUGGUUGAGCACUCGUGCCGUCCUCCAAUACUCUAGGUUCUUGUGGUCAGUGCACACUUGCACCUUAUGUUGUGCGCCAAUUAGCAGGUGCCUCCAUCUCCGGAACGCCUCAUGAAUGGCUAGUAGUUCUCGGUCAUACACCGUGUAGUUCCUCUCGGAUUUGUUCAGCUUUCGCGAAAAAAGGCACACGGUCUCCACUCUGACCCCUUCUUGCCUGGCUGCAGAAGCACCGCCCCAAUCGCUCUGUCUGAUGCGUCAGUUUCCACUCUCAUCGGUUUUUGUAAAUCCACAUGCAGGAGUUGUUGUUCCGAGGCGAAGGCCCUUUUAGUUCCUGGAUUGCUCGCUCCGGCUCCUCGGUCCACACGAACUUCUUCUGACUGCUGAGCCAGUGCGUAGUGGGCGCCGUCAGGUGGGCAAAGUUUCGGAUGAACUUACGAUAGAAGUUCCCAAAUCCUAGGAACCUCUGCACAUCCUUCUUUGUUUUGGGUGUUUUCCAUUCCAGUACCGCCUGGACCUUGCCGGGAUCCAUGGCCAAUCCCUUGUCUGACAGGCGAUACCCCAGGAAUUCCACCUCCUUGGUAUGAAACUGACACUUCUCCAGUUUCACCCACAGCUGGUUGGCUUGCAGCCUGCUCAACACUUCUCUGACGUCUCUCACAUGCUGCUCCUCAUUCUCAGAAUACACCAACACGUCGUCUAAAAGGCCACACAAUUCUUGUAAAGCAAAGGCCCCAGGACGUGGUUCAUAAACGAUUGAAAUGUUGCGGAGCCUGCUUGUAGGCCGAAGGGCAUAACCAAAUAUUCAAAUGCCCCUAAAGGGGUGAACAUAGUGGUUUUCCAUUCAUCCCCCUUCCUUAUUCGUACCAGGUUGUACGCCCCCCUUAGGUCCAGCUUUGUGAAAAUCUUUCCCUUCCGCACCCUUGUCAAAAUGUCGUCAAUCCUGGGCAUAGGGAAGGCUACUGGUUCUGACACUGCAUUUAAGGCCCUGAAGUCACACACCAGCCUCGGCUUGUUCGUGUUUUCUUAUCCACAAAAACACUGGGCUGCCCCCACCGCCCUGGACUCUCUGAUGAACCCUCUCUUCAGGUUCUUGUCAAUGAACUCUCUUAACUCCUGCAUCUCUCUGUCUGACAUGGCGUACAGCUUGCCUACAGGGAGCUGUGCUCCAGGAAGUAAGUUGAUUUGACAGUCAAAGGGUCUAUGCGGGGGUAGUUGGUCAGCUUCCCUUUCGCUGAAGACGUCACGGAGAUCUGCAUAUUGUCGUGGUACCUUCACGUUCUCUGUUACUUCAGUCCCUGCUAGGGUGGCUUGGACCCCUGCCAAACCCUUUCCCUCUUUGCAGUGUUCUAAGCAAUGUGCUGAACCAAAAGAAACCACUCUCUGAUGCCAGCCCACCAGCGGAUCAUGUAACGCUAGCCAGCUCAUCCCCAAUAUAAUGGGAGCUCCUCCCAAGGUGGCCACAUUAAAAGCUAUCAGUUCGGUGUGCCUUGCUACCUUCAUUAUCAUUGGGACGGUCUGCAAGCUGACUUCUCCACCCAACAGCUCCCUGCCAUCGAUCGUGGUCACCUGCAGGGGGCUGCUUAAAGGAUUGUCUGUAUCUGGUGUUCAGCUGCAAACUCUUUGCUCAUGAAAUUGCAGGAGCUGCCUGAGUCCAACAGCGCCUUUAUCUUUAGAGGGUGUCCGUUUGGCAGCUCUAGCGUCACUUCUAUCACUAGGGCGGGUUUAGGAGGUUCUGGCGUGGGCACUCUCACUGCUCUUUGGCCUGGCUGCUGUGCCCUGACAGUGGCAGCCAGGCGUUGGCUUUUACUUGCUCCGGUAUUUUUCCUCUCUUCCAUCCACAGCUCCUACCAUCCCUUGCCAUUCUUUCCUCUGGGGGCAGACUCUGGCAAAGUGACCUGGCUGUUGGCAGAGAUAGCAUUUCCGGGCGCCUUUUCCCUCCUUCUUUGCCCCCUCACUGGGCUUUGAAACUGCGCGCGCGCGCUGUUCCGAUUUCCAUCGGCUCUGCCGGUGGGAAAGUUGGCUCUGGAAUGUCUGGAAUGCGGAACUCCUUCCAACGUUCCCCUUUCCCUUCCCGCCUCUCCAAUGCUCUCGCCUCCUGGCGCGCUCCUAUGGCCAGCGCUGAUUUGGUCAGCUGGUCCAUAGACUCCGCCCCUGGGCGCCCGGGAAAGUUCGUCUUUCACAGCCGAAGAAAGCCCUUCUUCAAAGAGCAUUUGAAUGGGUUCCGCCGAUAAGUCCCACCCCAAUCUGUGAACAAGCAUGGUGAACUCAGUCCAGUACUCACGGACAGAUCGGCUCCCCUGUUUGCAACCCAUUAACUGUCUGCGCACCACUCCCUUUUCAAUAUCGCUGGAAAACAUCAGAUCCAUGGCGCGAAAGAACUUCAUCGUGUCCUUUAAGACGUCACUAUUCGCUGCCAUCAGGGGUCUAACCCAGUCUCUCGCCCCCUUUUCAAGAUGCUCAAUCACGAAAGCCACUCGUGAUUCCUCGUCAGGAAUUCAUCAAACUGCAGAUUGAGGGCAUAUUGCAUUUCUGUCCGAAAACCAUGAUAGUUUUGGGCUCCCCCAAACUUCUGCACCAAUCCUGGUACCUUUCUGGCGAACUGGGUGGCUUUCCCCCUUUGUCUGCAUCCUGAGCCCUCCUCUCCUCAAGCCUCGCCGUCUGCAUCGCUAGCUGGACCUCCAACAUCUGGUACCUUUCUUCCAGGCUUGGACCCGCUCCAGCUCCUGCUUCUCCGGUUCCGGCUGGGUUGCUCAUGAUGCCUUCUCCUGCACAAGCUGCUUUCAAAGACUGUCGGAAUGCUGUGAUGGGAUGAUGAGCUGCUUGUGCGUAAAAUCGUAUCCCCUCAGAGUUUGUUCAAGUCCACAAACCUCUGUCUGUGACGGAGCCCCUCAGACAUGGCUGCUCUAGUCACUAGCAGAUUCCGACAGUGGUUGCUUUUCCAACAUAAAAGCUCCUUAACGGAAACACGUCUUCUGGAAUCUCUGCGUGACAGUUUCCGGCGAGGAGUGGGUGUUCUUACAGGAGGUUCUGAAACCUCCCCACUGUUUUCGCUGGAAGUGUCUCUGAGCCAUCCCUCCAGCUCAGCUCCUCUCCCCCUGCUGGUUCCUUCUUCAGCUGCUGCGUCUCUCCCAACCUGUGUGAGCCCUUUCACCUCCCUGUUGGUUCCCUCUUCAGCUGCUGCGUCUCUCCCAACCUGUGUGAGCCCUUUCACCUCCCUGUUGGUUCCCUCUUCAGCUGCUGCGUCUCUCCCAACCUGUGUGAGCCCUUUCACCUCCCUUCCGUCCGAUGGCAGUUCCCUGACACUAUGUUAGCUCUUAACUUAAUGAAAGCAAAAUUAAGGAUGUAUUAUAUAAUUGCCUUUAUCUCUGCUCCUAUUGUUAUUAACAUUCUUGCUCUUUUCAUUGGCAGACAAUUUGGUUUGAAUAGCUGUAUGUUUGCAUAAAUAUUGGUUAGAUGGUAGAGUUAUUACCAUUGCAUGGGGUUAAUUACUUUCUGCAUCGAUUGUAUUUUCUCAAUACUACGUUCAACAUACACGUUGUUGAAUAAAAAGAAGAUGCAUUUGAUACCAGCCUGUGAAGACGUCAGAAUUAUGAGGUGCGUUCUUUGACAAGGGAACCCCCACAACCCACUAACCUUCCGCGUUGUGAAGUUUACAGGAAGCCUUGAGUGGCCGGCCUUGAAGUUCUGCUAAACUCUUAUUUGCUUGUUCAUUUCGUUCUGGCACGCUGGAUAAUGAUAGAUGGAUAGCUGUGGUUUGUGGAUGGGAGCCACAGGUUCCCCACCACUGGCCUAGAGUUACAUAUUCACAUUCUUCUAUAGCAAGGUGGUUGUGGGCAGAAGUGUAGUAUGGCAGGAACGGGUCUCUGGUGCUUCUCUUGGGAAGUUCCAUGGGAGUUUGUGCCAUCCCUAAAGUAGGGGGAUGUACAACUGGAGCUCUUACACUUCAGAAUUUUGUACUAGUUUCACUGGCUAUGUAUGAGCAGAGCAAAAAGGAAACGGUACAGCUGUUCUUUCAUAGAACUGUAUCAUUAGGUUUUACGGCUGAAUAUUAUAACUACUUUUGAGAUUGGAAGCAGGAAUGAUUUGAAUGGAUGAACAUUUGAUUGCUUAUGUUGAGAUUCAAGAGACAAAUGGGGUUGGGGGGGGCUGUUUUUAUUUCCAGACCAAAAAAACCACCACAGGAUAAUGUGUCUAAAGUCUUUUUAGUUGUGGCUAAAGAGAAGAAAUAAAGUCAUUUGUUGCUCUUAACACUUGCUCUAUAAUUUUUAAAACAGAACUCCCCGUAGGGUCAUUAGACAUGAACGUAUUACGACAAACAUACCCCUUGGGAGAGUUUAUAGCUGGUUUAUGUAAGAGGGAAAGGGAGGGUUAUGUGAGUGCACUCUCAAUAAGAAUAAUUGCUUUCGGAAUCAGUCUUUCUUCAGUAUGGUAUUCUCUCUCUCUCUCUCUCUCUCUCUCUCUCUCUCACACACACACACACACACACACACAGCUUAUUUUAGAGUAUCACUCUCCCAUUAUCCCAGUAACAACGCUAUUUAUACUAAUAUUUAUAAUAAUUAUUAAUAACAACAUGCUAAAAUUAUUUACAACUAUGGAGCCAGGCAAUAUAUGAUUUUAAGCACAGAACAUGGAUAGACACUAAGGUUGUGUGCACACCAUAUAUUUAAAGCACACACAUCACCUCCAAGAAUCUUGGGAACUGUAGUUUGUUAAGUGUGCGGGGAAUUGUAGCUCUGUAAGCUGCAGUUCCCAUGAUCAUUUUUUGGGGGAGGGGUAUUUGUGCUUUAAAUGUGUGGUGUGUACACAGUCUAGUUAAGCUCUGUGGCAACUGAUAAUGUAUGUAGCCAAACAACCAAGUCCCUCACUGUGUGACCUGAACUACAAGAAGACCCUGUUCCUCCUUUCUCCACCCCAAUUUCUUCCUAGAGAUGCUUCUCCCUCAUUUUGUCACACAGAAAUUGUAUAAGGCAUCUAUGAGUGCAGUUUUGAGUUCCAUUCCAAAGACACUUUGGUCACUGGGGGGAUACAUGGGUGUGUAUAAUAUUUUAACGUGAGGGGGAAAAGGUUGCCAUAGCGUUCUUUUGUAAGCCAACUAAUAUUUUUCAUUGUAAAGUCUCCUGGGGGUUCAAGAAAUGAAAACAGCAAACCCAAAGGUUGCUCCAUUUCAUAAUUUGGCAAUUCCCCGGCAACUGAGCACUUGGCUGUUCUGAUCCGUUUUUACUGUACUUCUUCACUAACCUGCAAAUUUACCUCAAUAGGUGGAGGUCACUUUUACCCUACAACAACUGCACAAGGGUGGAGUUGAGCAUUUCAGGUGUUCUUGUCUCCUUGCACCCACCGUUGCAUGCAGUUUUCAUACCAGUGCCUACUUGUAUAUGUUGAUACUUGGUGGUUCUAUGGAAGCCACCUAUGUGAUGGCGGAUCACAGGGGGAUAGUCAUUUCAGGAGGACGUCUUUCUUGUUACAGCUACAGAGCCAAUGCGCUGUGGAAGCAUUUGUUUGUAGCUUCAACAUGGUGGCUACAAUGUAAAAUUUGGCCUUUUUUAAAAUCACUUGGUAGCGUGAAGAAUUUAGCAUUGAGACCUAGAGCUGAACUCACAUGGACUGAUAUACUUGGGCUUUAUUCCAUGUAAGGCUUGAAAGUAAUCUUUAGGUCAGGGUUAGCCAACAUGGUGCUCUUCAGAUGUUUUGGAGCCCAACUCCCAUCAUCCCUGAUCAUUGGCAGUGAUGACUAGGGCAGAUGGAAAUUGUAGUCCACCCAACAACAAGUGGAGAUCAUCACGUUGGCUACCCCUGCUUCAGGACAUUUGAGGCUGUCUUGUAGAGAUGCGUCUCCCAAGCACCGCUGUUGUAUAAGCAGCACAAAAAUGGAAAUGAGCAGAAGCAGCAUAACAGUUGUUCAUUGUGGGUGACACCCUGGCUGCUGUGCCUUUUUGUUUUGUGGCUUUGUUCUGUUCUGUUCUGUUCUACUGCACUAUUUGUGCGAGUGACAUUUCCUUUUUACAAUUUGCAUGAACGGUUAAAAAAAAAAACCCAGAGAGGCAGGCUUCCUCUCACAUUUAUCCAAAUUAUCAAACUUUCCAGAGUAUGUUUCUUGCAUUUUUCUUUUCCACUUUGUGAAGCAGUUGUCCACAUUGGAUGAAAACCCUGCUUUGGACCUAGGAGACAAUCUUUUAAACUUUUGUCCCACUGUUUGGCCAUGCUAUAUAUUACAGCUGUGACACCAAGUCUAUUAACUCAAAAGCCAAUUAUCAACUUAGUAGCGUUAAUAAAAAAAAUUAAGUGCUCAAGUUCUUUGCCGGGGCAGCAGCAAGAAUCUCUUAAUAUAACUUUAAUUGGAUUAUGAAAGCAAGGUACAGAUCCCCCAUGCUUAUCCUGAGAUCUGACAAAUAAUUCAGUAUGCAUUUCAUCACAGUAUUGCCAUACAUUGUGCUGGUAUUCCAGAAUGGUUUGAGAGGGACCCCCCUUGUGCCCCUAAUUCUAGUGUUGGGAGAUGGUUUCACACUUUACAGGAUGGCUGUAGUAGCCAUUUAUACUUCUUUGCCAGGGAAACUCUCAGUGCAUUGCAGAACUGCUGCACAAAGGCCUUUGAGCAGAGGCGGAAAGAGAAACACCAAGGGAAUGGAUAACCCUUGGCUCCUAUUGCAGGGUCUUCUGAGAAUAACCUCACCUCUCUCCUGCUGGAUACAAGUGACCCCCGAUUUUCAUGGGGGUUGUGUUCCAUGUCAUCACGGGCGAUGCUUAAGCCUGCUUCGCCCUGUUCUGCUCCCUUUUCUGGCCACUUCCAGGCUGCUGCGAUGCACAUGUGAAUGGUUGUGCAUUAAUUGGAUGCGUGUAACGCGGGUGGCGCUGUGGGUUAAACCACAGAGCCUAGGGCUUGCCGAUCAGAAGGUUGGCGGUUUGAAUCCCCGCAACGGGGUGAGCUCCUGUUGUUCGGUCCCUGCUCCUGCCAACCUAGCAGUUCGAAAGCAUGUCAAAGUGCAAGUAGAUAAAUAGGUACCGCUCCGAUGGGAAGGUAAACGGCGUUUCCAUGCGCUGCUCUGGUUCGCCAGAAGCGGCUUAGUCAUGCUGGCCACAUGACCUGGAAGCUGUACGCCGGCCCCUUGGCCAAUAAAGCAAGAUGAGCACCGCAACCCUAGAGUCGGCCAUGACUGGACCUAAUGGUCAGGGGUCCCUUUACCUUUUUAAAUUAGUUGUUGCCUGUACAAGGUAUUGCCAAGGGGCUGAAUAGUAUUUUCAUGGUGCUUGUGGCAGUUUUUGGCUCAUAUCGCAAGCUACCUUGGUUCUGUAUUGAAACCUCUUUUUUAUUUUUUAAAUCCUCAUUUGGCAUCUAAUGCUAGGAAUUUUCCACUGUGGAAGCUGAAAUAAUUCCUCUCAAUUAUACCUUAUCAUUUGCUAGCUUAAAAACUGUAAAAAUAUAAUUUUCACUAACUACUUAGUUGCACAGGAUGUGCUGCAUGGAAAUUAGCAGGUGCAAAUGAAGUUCAAAUUAACGAGGGGAGGAGGGGUGGAAAGUCAUAUUUUGCAGAAAAGAAGAUAUUGCUAAAUUUUUGCUUGUGAAUGCAUUUAUUAGCUGUUCUCUAGAGAAGGGUUUUAGGAAAGUGAAAGCUAACCCAACUUUUGGUUAGUCAAGCAACUGGAGUACAGAUUUUUGUGUGUGUUGCAAAUUAAGGCAGAUAAGCUUCAUGAUAUCAUAAUUAAGAACCUUCAAGCAACUUGUGGGUUGGGAAGGUUAGCCAAGGCGUUGGCAAGAUUUCCUUCCUUCUCUCUUCUGCCAUGAGUUCCUUAUUUGGUGGGUGAGAUGAGCCUUGAGAGGUUGGUGCCAGCCUUCUUGAGAGAUGUAAUGCUGGUUCUCAGUGCCCCCAAAAUGAGUUCAGGGCUGAGCUUGUACUCCCUUCCCCUAUUCCCUUGUUCUGUUGCAGGGGUUUGCUUUAAAGAACCAACAUGGCUGUGUUCUACCUCUACAGUCAGAGCAUUUUGCUUCUGAGUACCAUUUGCUGGAAACUGCAGGAGAGGAGAGUGCUGCUGAGCUCAAGUCCUGUUUACAGGCUUCCUCUAGACACCUGGCUGGCCACUGUGAGAACAGGAUGCUGUCUUAGAUGGGCCACUGGUCUUACCUAGCACAGCUCUUCUUACAUUCUUAAACACAGUGAACAUAUUUCAUCCCUUGAGCACUCCAGACCCAAAUCUGCCAAUGAAUCCUGACCAGGCAAGGGUUGCAUCUGCUUGACCCUCCCUGAUAGUAGGAAUUUCCUCUUGGGCAUUGGUUUUUUACAGUUAUGGGGGCUCUCUACCCUGACUAGAGACCGUCACUAGUUUUAUCACCCACCUUAUCUUCUGCAUGCAUAGAAAGGUUACCCAAAGAGAAGAUAAUUGUUUAUCUUUAAAUAUGACAAUAUUGACAAACAUAUGUUGGCAUUAUACAACAAUGCUAUGAAGUGGCAACCACUUGUCUGUAUGAAUGGUAGGAGAUGUUUCCAGAGAGCUGGAUCAUGCAUAGGUCCUCAAAGUACCCUCGAUGAAAGCUAGGUGAAAGGGCAAGUUGGUGAAACCUGUCCGGCUAAGGAACUGUUUCCAGUUUGCUUGGAUCCUUGACUGCUUUGCAAAGGGUUGUGUGCUGCUUCUGGUCAAAAGAGCAAGACAGUAUUGUGCCCAGUGUCCUGACACUAUAAAUCCUGGAACACGGGGCCAUAGGAAAAUGCCCAGUGGGAGGGCCACUUUUAGCAGUCCUCUGCUCAAAGCAUGUUAUCUGCCUUAAUAGUGACAAAAGAGGUUGUGAGCUUUUGAAUUAAGCUGAGCAGAAUGGAGAGGUAGCCAAUUUGCGGCAUGCCUGAGGACUAAAUAAUUCGGAAUGACAAGGAUAAUAGGUGGAAAUUAAUCCUCUUCCCAUUCUGUCCAAUAGAUAAUUCUGUGAAGUGGUGAGAAAAAAUAUAGUCUGUAAAUAAAUAAGUUCAGUAAAAGAAAUCGUACCUGUUUUUCUCUGAUGUUCCUUUUUAAGAAACUAUGGCCACAAUUAAUUUUGGUGUGUACCCUUCUAUUGAUAAAUGUCAGUAUACUUGUUGGUAAUAGAUUUCCCCCAUUCUACUGAAAGAUACAUUGCACUAGUAUAAAGUAAAGGCAACCCCUUAUUUGCGCGGUGGCUGCAUACCAGGUCAUUGUGUGCAAGGGCGGAGCACACAUAAACCUGCUCCGCCCUGUUACGCCCCCACCCCACCCUGUUCUGUACCCUGGUCCACUCCCUUUUCCAGCCACUUGCAGGUCGCUGCGGUGUAUGCAUGAGCGUCUGUGCAUAAAUUGGAUGUGCAUAAAUCGGUCAUUGCGGUCCCAGUCGCAGUGCCACCCUCCGCUGAGGCAGUGAAGCAGACAGCAGUCUGGAUUAAAAACGGCCGUAGCUUUAUUGAUUGCAGGUGGAAUUUUAGCUCAGGCGUUGGGUGUAUAUCUGUUUGAGCCUCCUACCAGAGGACUGAAACUUUUUCAGCGUCAUGCCAAGGAUUAUGACCUCCCCAAGUUGCCCAUCUACUGAAGUGGCCAUCCAAAAGCUGCUGCUGGAAGCUCUACAGCCCGUCUGCCACAUGCUUGGCUUUUGGACAGAGAUUUCCACUGAGACCCCUCUAAUGGGGUAUCCUGAAUACACUGCUGGUUCUGGAUAGGGUGAUGCACCACUUCACCCAAAAGCUUGAUGAGUAGGAUUCCACCCAGUGCCUUAAAUGCCCAAAGUUGUGAAGUUUUGUUGCGGGGAAGGCAAAUUCUCUAGAUGGAGCAAAUUGUCUACAGGCAAAUUCGUUCCUGGCUCGGAAUACGGCAACUAUUAGCAACCAUAGCAAGGUCAGGAAACACAAGGAGGAGCUGAGGAACAGGCCAAAGUUAUUGGUUUUUGUUUUGUUUUUUAGGCCAGACAGUCCUGCUGUUGCAGCUUCAACCUGCAAAAUAUAAAAAGGAAGCCCUGUGUUAUUUGCAUCUCGGGGUGGGGCAUGGUGAUGUCUGGGAAUUGGCCUGUUCAACCUGACUUCAGGUCCGUUGGCGUGUGGGCAUUGUGGCUGGUGUAGUCCCUGACUGCUGGACUGCGGCAGUGUAUUCAUUUCCCCAUUUUAAAAAUAUUUCCUACCUUUGUGUGUGCACGUACUUCCCCUCCCCUUCCCUUCCCUUCCCUGUCUGAGCAUGCAUUUGAUAUGGCAGUUGUACUGCUGGCACUGUGGCAGCAUAAUAUGUAUAUGGGGUGGCCCUGUCAGGCUCUUCUGAGAUAGCAUGUGGUUUAGCCUGAGCUGUGUUAGUGCAGUUACAUUUUAAAGAGCUGAUGAUCGAGAGCUGUGAACAACAGCAGGAUGCAGGCACAGUGGGACAUGGCUGACAGUCAACAAUUCGUGUUCUGCAUCUGCGAAAAGUCCCAUGUGUGCUUGCCAUUUAAAUUCUGCAUGAAUUUAGCAGCAAAAAUAGAGAGGGGCGAUUAGAUUAUGGGAGGAUCCUUACUGGAGAUGCUUUUCAGAGGUUUUUUUUUUUAAAAAAGCUUGUUUAUGGAGGAGGGUGAAGAUGAAUGAAAGAUGAACGCACACCACUGUUCUCUCGACCACAGCCCACGCAACUUGUGAUUGUAUGUUAUCUUUAUAGGGUUGCUUAAUAACUACAGAGAUAAUGCAAAGUGCAUUGGCAACACUAACAGCAUAGUCCUACGUGUGUAGAUGAUGUGUAGUAUAGUGGUUAGAGCGUUGGAUAAUUCAAAUCCCCACUCAGCCAUGAAACACCUUGGGUGACCUUAGGCCAGCCACCUUCUCUCAGCUUAGCCUACCUUACAAGGUUAUUGUGAUGAUAAAAUGGGGAGGAGGCGAGCCAUGUGUGUCACCUUGAGACCCUGGCAGGGAAAAGCAGGAUAUAAAUGUAGUAAAAUAUGGAUAUAAACACAGACACAAGUCUCAUUGAGUUCACUUACUCUCAAGCUUGCAGCCCCAAAUGCUAUAGAAAAUCUAAGCUUUAUUAGUUCAUUUAUAAUAUAAAUACUAUAAAUAUUAAUUAUCUAAAAUUUAUGGUUGGUCAGGCCCUGUAUAAAUCCAUAUAGCAAGGAGUGUUUCAUAUCUGCCAUUCUCUGUACUCACAAAGGCUUUGAGAGAGAGCUAAAUGCACUCCAACGGACUAUGAUGUUUGCAUAUAGCGUUAAAGAUAGGAAGCAUAGUUUUGCAUGUAAACGACAGAAUGGGAGACGGCUAAGAGGGCAGUAUGAACACAUAGACAGACGUGCUUUUUCUAAUCAAGUCAUCAGCUAGGUUUGAUUUUAAAACAGGUGAACUACUUUUUAGUUUUGGUUCUGAUUUACUUGUUAGGAUAUAUUAAAGAUUGGUUUCAAUUAGGUUCUGGUUUAAAUCCUUUGUUGAAACCCCUUGAAACUCUGCUUGUAACAUGUAUUUUAUGAUAAUAUUGUAGGGUUGUUGAUUCUACUUCAUAUCUGUCUGUAUUUAAGGAAGUUUUGAAUUCAGCAAAGCUCUUUGUUUAGACACAACAUCUUGUCAUGUCACUCCCUCCACUCGCACCUUUAACCUUCCAAUUCUUUGCAUCUUUUCUUCUUUUCAGCCAUAGGUUUGGUGUAUUUGACAGAGGGCAAAAUAUUUAAUAGUGGCAGCUGUUGUAUCAUAGAAUUAUAGAGUUGGAAGGGACCCGAAGGAUCAUCUAGUCCAACCCCCUGUAAUGCAGGAAUCUCAGCUAAAGCAUCCACGACAGAUGGCCCAUUCAACAUCUGCUUAAAAACCCCCCAAUGAAGGAGAAUCGACAGCCUCCUGUGGGAGACUGUUCCAAUGUCAAACAGCCCUUAAUGUCAGAAAAUCCUUCCUGAUGUUUAGUCGGAAUCUCCUUUCUUGUAACUUGAAACCAUUGGUUCAAGUCCUACCCUGGAGAAAACAAGCCUGCUCCAUCUUCCAUGUGACAGCCCUUCAGAUAUUUGAAGAUGGCUAUCACAUUUUCUCUCAGUCUCCCCUUUUCCAGGCUAUACAUAUCCAGUUUCUUCAGCCAUUCCUCAUAAGGCUCCUUUGCACAUGUUUCAGCUUGUCAACAUCCUUCUUAAACUGUGUUGCUCAGAACUGGACACAGUUUUCCAGGUGUGGUCUGACCAAGGUAGAUUAGAGUGGUACUAUGGAUUCCCUUGAUGUGGACACUAGCUUUUUUUUUUGCUGCUGCAUCACACUAUUGACUCGUGUUAAGCUUGUGGUCUACUAAUAACCCUAGAUCCUUUUCACAUGUACUACUGGCAAGCCAGGUGCCCCCCCCCCCAUCUUACAUUCCUAUGCAUGAGUGCUUGGCCUGGAGAGCAAAGAUGGAGAAUACUGUGCCACACACUGCCUUACAUAGAGGAGACCAGAGAGAGGAAAAACCUCACCCAUUAUCCACCUUGACAGUGUUAUACAUGGCAGGUGAAGCAUUCUGUGGGGGUAAUAAUUCCAUGUUAGUGAAACUAAAAUCCAUAUACCAGAUAGUUUAUAUUCCAAUUGAACCCAAUAUCUGCCUUCUAUCUUCGUUAGAAAUGAGGAGAAGAAAAGCACUGUAAACAUUUUAAAAAGCAUUACUUUAUCAACUCUUUGGUUGAAGCUUCAUGUAAGCUACUGAACUCUGCAGUAUUCUUUGUGACAUUAGGUAGAGUCUCUCUUUUGUGGUUGAAGACUGUCUAGUGUUGUACCUACAGACAUGGAUGCAGUGAAAGGUAAUUAUGUUUACAAGCUACAGGAGAAAACACCAUAAUUUCAUUUAUGACAUUUUGCAUGCUGAACAUGGAAAUAGGAGUGGUUGUAUGGGAUAGAAAGUUUAUUGCUGUGCUUGUUUAGAAAACAACAUGAUUUCACACAUCUUUUUAAUGGGUAAAGUAAGGUGGAUCUAGGAGUGGGACAGAAAUUAUUCAUCAUACAACUAGCUUAGAUUACAGGCAAUCAGACUUAAUUUUCAGAAGAUGGCUAUAGAAUCAUUCUGUUGCCAUUCUUUAACCAAUAUGUAUAUUGGCAAAAGUGUGAUCAAUGCAUGUAUUUAAGCAAGGACAGGUGAUUUCUGAGUGCAGUUCAGCAUUGCUGUAAAGCAAUGUUAUCCAACCUGGUGCCCUCCUGGUGUUUUAUAAUACAACUUUCAUCAGCCCCAGCAAUGUGCCAGCCAGCGGUAUUCUAAAACAUCUGAAGGGCAGCAGGCUGAGGAGUGUGAUGCAACCACAUGCAGGCUCACAUCCCUGUACUUAAUAUGAAUUGCUGAAGAGUAUCAUUGGCAGUUUUCAUACUAAGGAUCUUAUAGGCAGGAAUUUCUUUUCACAUGUAGUCUUUGGACCUGACUGCAUUUGUGUUUCCUUCUCCUUUUAUGCCACAUUGCUUUGAAAUUUAAACUGAGUUCAAACUGGCUUUCAUUUUCCAGUGUCACAAAGAAAUGAGAACUGCCUUGUGAUUUAAAGAAAAAAUUGAGAGCAGUAAUGCCAGGCCAUCAAGUCUAAUGGGUUGUGUACCAUACAUUAUAUGUUGCAAGUUGAAUUUCUGGAUUGCUAGUGAAGGCUGUGGGAUUCUAUGCAGUAAAAAGUCCAAUAAUCUGAACACUGAAAAAUAGGAAUUCAGCUAUCAUGCGUCUUUAUAGAGGCAUUUGGUGGGUAAAAAUAGUAACACAAUUGGUCUUGCAUUGUCUUGGCAAAUUGUAUUUAUUUUUUAAUAUAGUACUAACCUAAUUUGAUUUUUCUCUCUGCCGAGCCAGUCCUAUCCAUCCCUACGGUUUGGCUCUUAGUAAUGAUCCCAUAGCUUCCUUAUGCUUCAGACAGGUUCCGUUUUUCUCUUCUCUCUUCCCCAGCCCACCUUUAUUCCAUGUCUCACACCUACUCUUGCAAUCUUAAGAAUUAUUUUUCCUGCAAUCUCAUAGCCCCAGUGCAUUUAGUUACAUUUGAUGAGAUGCUCCACUUAAAGCUGUGUGCUUCUGGAAACUCAGAUUUGAUUACUAUUUCUGACAAAUUGGAGCCGGGAAUAGAAAUCUUAUGAAAACUGCUUACAUUUACAUUUUAUGUCAUGGACAGUUUUCACCUCCACUGCAAUGGUGAUCCCAGUCUUUGAGUGACCUUGUGUCGCUGAGAUAGCAUGGCAGAAUCUGAAUGGUCUUCUACAAUACAGACAAAGCUUCCAGUUUGUUCUUUAUCACAUUCUCUUCUGUGAUCUCUGGCACCAAAGGGUGUAUGAAGGAAAAAAGGUUGGAAGCUGCUUAAGAAAAACCCCAAGGAUACAAAGAAUAAUGUUGAAGAUAUGCAUUGCUUGCUAGGAAAUUUUUAAAGUUGUUGGCCCCAAAGGAAAUAAAGUAAUACCGGGGCAGUGUCUUUAUUAGCACAAUCAAAAUGGGAGGAUCCAAAUGUUUGUACAUUUAUUUUGUGAUACGUUGGUUGUCCUAAUAGAGGUAUUGCCCUAAUAUGGAUUUAGGAAAGUAUAUGGUAUAAAUGAUGGAUAUAUAUAUUUUCUUUUAGCAAUGGGUGCCAUAUUUCCCAUGCCCAAGAGACAGCUGUGUUAUGUUCAAAGUUGUAUGUGUUAUGAAAAAGGGCUUCCCCUCUUUAACUUUUAGAGAAAGGUGUGGAUCCUAACUUUUUGCUUUGUGAACAGAUGCACCUGUUCACAGAAGAAAAUUGAGGAUACAAGUCAAAGAGUUUACAUAUGUAUGAACUGGCACUGGCAACUGUCUUUCUACAGAAAUUUGUUGGAGAAAUGAAACUAAUGUUGUGCCAUAUGUUGUGCAAUAGUAUAUAAUUAUGUGGUAAAAUGUAUGCUGUCAUCAGAUGUUUCAUGGGGUUGUUGGGGUAAUUAUCAACACUCCUUCCUCUGCUGAAUAGUUUUAUGGUUUUGCCAGAUUAUUUAAAAGUUAAGGUUGAAACUCUGUAGCAUUAUAAAAUUAGCAAAUUGAAUAUAUAUAUAUAUAUAUAUAUAUAUAUAUAUAUAUAUAUAACACAGUAGAACGUAUUUCUGAGUAGGCAUCCAAGGCACUGGGCUGUAAGCUUGAGUUCCAAGGUCUGACAACAAUUCCUUAAAAAAAGAAGUUUGAAACAAUGCUUGUGCAGAAGUUUGAAUACUGCUAUGUGCUACAUAAAACCUCAAUUAUUUUGCAUUUUUCCCUUUCCCUUUUUAUCUCUGAAAAUCUGUUUUUAACCUUGAUUGUACACUAUGUUUAUAAUUUACAUUAUUAUAAAUUAAAAAGGGAAAUUUAUGGUAUAUUGAAACAACAAGAGGGAUUAAUCAACUCCCUCCCAUUAAAAAUCAGGCGAGCAUUGUCCCUGUUCAGUUUCAGAUGCCAGGUUAAAUUGGUUUUAUUACCGGAGGCCUUUGAAUUUUGUUCUAAUUUUUUUAUAGUCUGAUGUUUUAAUCUAUGUGUUUUAUUAUCUACGGGCUCAAUGAUGGUGAUUUGCUGCUUUCACAAAAAUAGUUUUGCAAUCACUCUAGCUAGGGAACAAGAUAAUAGUAAGAUAUUUUCCAAUAAUGUCAUUCUGUCAUAUUUACCAACUUCUUUAUGUGUAUUUCUUUGCUCUUUGGAUUUAUUUGUCUGGUAUUGGUGUACUGUGUUAUUGUUUUGUCAAUGUUGUUUCCUCUGUAUUUUAUGUUUGGUUUGUUCUUUGUAUUUUUGUCUGUUAAAAAAUGCUUUAUAAGCAUGUAUAUAAUAAAAAACCCUAUUUUUUCAAUUUUGUAUGUUGUACACCCCUUCCCUUGUCAGCUGCUCUGAUUGGAAAAUGUGAUAUAAGUUCAUCAAGUAAGUUAAAGGCCGGGGAGGAGGUCUUUUACUCCCGACAUGUUGCAAAGUAACAGUGAAUUAAGGCACAAUAAUAUUCUCACCCUCUCAACUUUAGUGCCAAAAAGCCUUCAUUUAUUUCAGUCUCUGAAACUGAGGCAGUAGACUUACUCAGCCAGAAAUGCUGACUGAGAGAAAAGGACUAUUUUGGUCUAAGCAGCAUUAUUGAGAGGCUGAGCAGAUUCAAUAGACUUGCUUAAUAGUUUCUUGAGGAAAAGUUUACCUUGAAACAUGUCUGGAAUAAAAUUCUGCAGAACUCAGCUGACCAAACAAACAAAAAUCUGAAGGAAGGGAUGUCAAGGGGUGGAAAGACAGGAAUCGCUUCGGGAGGAGCAAUCACUAGAAAAUGUCAUUUAAAUAUCUGACAGAAAAGAAUUUUUUUUUUUUUAUGCAACCAUAUACACAAACAAAACUCACCCCAUUUAUGUUUCCUGUGCGGAAUGAGUGAGUCUUACUACCCCAGCUGGCUACUUAAUGGUGUUCAAUUUCACUUCAACAUUAUGUUAACGUCUGUAGAACAUGGCGAAUGAUAAAAGCGGAUUAUGCUCUUGUGAUCUGUAUGUGCUGCUUUAAGAUGCAGUCGUGUACAUAAUUUAAAAGCCCACAAGAGUUGUAAAAGAGGUAUUGACUCUCAAAUUAAUACCUGAAAUAUAUCUUUGUAGUAUUUUAAUAGUAUCUAAAAGGGUGAAGGACAUACACUAGGUUGUUGCACCCCACAGUGUCUGUAGGUGAAGAGAGCAGACUUACAGUCCCUCAACAGGAUUCUUCCUCUGCAGCUCACACAUGCACCCCCAAAGUUUGGGGGAACCAUAUGGAACAGAUUCGGUGUGUGUUGAGGGGCUGCAGGGGAGAACAGAAACAUGACUUUCUGUGUAUGUGAAAAUCUGCAAUGUCGAAUUUAUGUGUGUGCGAAUUAGUUUUUAAAGUAUACUUUUAAUUAAUUUAGCAGACAUUUCAAGCAAUGUUACCAUAUGCCAUAGCUCCAUAUCUUUCCUGUGAUAUACUUAAUGGAUGAGAGUGGGUGUUUUUUUUUUUACAAAUUAAAAGGAAAUCUUGCUUUGCAAAGAUGUACUACAGUGACCGUUGGAGGGCUAAAUCAUUCUCUGCUUUUGUUGUUGACUUUUUAAAAGGAAAGUUUUCCAUCGACACAGAAACCCGACAUACCCCUGACAGAAGGGCUUGGACAUAGCUGACAAAUGCAGACGUGUGUGUGAUGUGUUGCAAUCAAUCAAUCAAUCAAUCAAUCAAGAAAGAAAGAAAGAAAGAAAGAAAGGCAUGGAUGGUUGAAUAUAUUGAUGCAAAGACAGCAUUUCUUUGAAGAAGUUUGCGAAGUGGGCUGCUAGUCACUCUUCCACAUCCACAUGCAACAAUGAAUUCAGAAGCAGCUCAAGGCUGACAGAGUGAAAACUGGUACAGGUUACAAAUGCUUUGGGUUACAGACUUUGCUAACCCAGAAGUAGUACCUCAGGUUAAGAACUUUAUCUCCGGAUGAGAACAGAAAUUGCACGCCAGCAGCGCAGCAGCAGCAGAAAGCCCCAUUAGCUAAAGUGGUACCUCAGGUUAAGAAUGGUUUCAGGUUAAGAAUGGACCUCCGGAACCAAUUUAGUAUGUAACCAGAGGUACCACUCUAUGUAUGCUGCAUUCUGCUAUGCAAAUGUAGUCAUAUUGAUAAGUAUAAGUUGCAGCAUGAGAUGGAGUUGCCCUGUCGUUAGUUUUCAUGCCCCCGAUUAAGAUCAGUGGUAGUCACUAUGCUUUUUCUGAACAUUUGCAGUAAUUGGAAGUUUAAUCAGCAUUUGAGGACAGUAUUGUGAACAGUCUGCAGAUGGAACAUUGAGACAGACACUUACAUUUCUAUAUGUUACUGUUGCGAUUCUGUUGCUGUUCUAGUUGCUAUACUAUCAAAUGGCAUAACCUCAAAAACAAAAAUAUUACGUCACUUUGGUAGCAUCUUUUUCUUUCAGUGCAUGCUGUGAUGUAUCACAUGCCCCUUUCUUUGGAUCUUUAAAUAGCAGUCUUGUAUCUUAGUGACGUCAGAAUAAAAAUAAUAAAAAAAUGAAUUGUCUCUUUAAUAAAAAUUGGCAGUUACUCUGGUGUAGAUAGGGGACAAAUUGGUGGAUCUCUGCUGUUCUCAGAGAUGUUGAUUCUUCUUUGGGCUUCUUGUCACAGAUGCCUGUACAGUUUAAUAUUGGUUUUAUCACUGAAUUUGAGGCCAUCUGAGGACUGAGACUGUUCUCGUGUUUGGCCAGUUUGUGAUCAUGUUUCUUGAAAAAUUGCAGUAAGAAACUAACAGUUAAAGGAAUGGAGCUCUAAAACAAGCAGAGCGGGACACAUUAGUGAACACAUUUUUCUAAUUAAAAACAAAAAAGGAAGAAGAGAACAAGGAAUGCUUAGUUCAAAAGCAGAAUUAAACUCUAGAAAGUUCUGAAUUUAUAAUUAAAGCAGACUCUUCGUUGAGAGUUUGACAAUAUUUCUGUCCUCUUCAUCUUAAAGUCUGGGAAAAGUAUAAAAGCAAACAAACUGAAACAAGGAAUUUAAAGGAUAAAUCUUCUCUAAUUUAGUUGAUUCUGCUCCGCCCCCUCAAAGAAAUUGUUUGCAUUUUUUGGGAUAUUAUAUCAGUUCUUUCCUAUGUAUUUGAAAUAUAUCCUCCAGAAUGAGAGUUACCCACUGUCGAAUUCCCAGCAAGGUAGGGGUUACCCAAGGACAACACAGCAACAGUAAAGUAAUUUGAUUAUGUAUGCACUGUAGGUAAGGUAGGUAAGGUAGUACCAAGGGGCUUUUUGAGAGCAGAGCCAGGAGGCCUCAGAAUCCCUCACCUGUAGCAGUUUCCUUUUUGGGUGAGGGAAGGAGGCAGUCGUUUUCUGUCCCCACCAUUUUUAAACUUUCAGCACCACUGGACUGGUAUAUCGUCUUAAAUAGUGAAGAAAGUUCAUUUCUAUCCUGGAUGUGAACUGUGGCACACAUGCACACUAAAUUUCCUAUGUAGAGGCAAACAUUUUGGCACCAUUUUUUAACUCUCCUCAGCUAUUGUAAUUCAUAUGGCUGAUAUAGUUUCAUGCCUACCUCCCUACUUACAUAAUUUUAUUUGUAUGCCACUUUUCCAUAGUUCAAACCAUGCCCAAGGUGACUUACAUCAUGAAAAAAUUACAUAAUUACAAACGUAACAAAAGUAGUCACAAACAAUAAAUAAAACAUCAAAAGCACACAACCAAAUAAAGCAAUUUCCCCAUAAUAAGAGCUAAAAUAAAGAUACAAAAAUUAAUAUUGAUAACAGCGGCAACCCCCUCUCCAACAAAAUCCCCUAAACCAUACCCCAGCCUAAGAGUCUGUAAUAUUAGUUUAGGAUGCAGAUAUCAUUCUUAACCUUGGUUUGAACUACUUAAAUUUAAUUAAUAAUGCCAUCUGAAUAUCUAAACUGUAUGUAAAGAUUAGUUAAGAAAAGAAUAAUGUAAAACCAUAGCUUGAAGUUGUUAAGACAAAGAGUUCAUUCAGUUGGACAGCAUGAGCUGACAGCAUGGAGUAUGCAGCAAACCUUGGGUUAGCAUACUUCCACUUGACCUCGCCACCCCACCCCCUGUCUCUGCAUGUGUUUUCAAGUUAUCAGAAGACCAUAGUUGGCAGUUAUGGGCAAUAUAAACCAAUAUCAAGAUAUGGUUUGGGAUCUUGGUUUGAAGACAAAGUGUUCUUUUAGCAAAUUGUACUUUGCUGAGUUUCGACACAAUGGCAGUCGGUGAACCCAUUGUUCCACCUCUCCAGCUUCUCUAGCUGCAAGGACCUCUCAUGCCUCCUUAUAUUUUUCUAGGUCAGGGCUUAUUUUAGCAAUCCAUAAAAUAUAGAUAUCAGAAUUUCACUGUAUGUUUUGGGAUCUUAACCAAAGUUAAGGUAAUGAACUGUUGCUAGGACUAAUUGUGAUUAAACAUUAUGUCUGUGUAAAACUCAGACUUCCUCCCCAUGUCAGCAAUCCUGAACAUGUGUAUGCCUGCCUGGCUAAAAAUGUACUUAUUUAGACUAGGUAUGUGGAUAUUAGAAUAAAUACUUUUUAUAUGUGUUGAAAGAGAUGAGUAGGAUCUGUAGUCAUUCCUGUCUUUUCUGAGCUUGGGUUCAUCAGUCAUACUUUAUUUCAUUGUGGAAAUAUGCCUCUGGGAUUAAAUAGUCCAUGUCUGUCAUACUUGGAGUAGACCCACUGAAAUGGAUGGAAUCUGAGUCUGCUCUGGGAAUGACUAACAAUGGAUGUCACCCUCUGUUUUAUGACUUGAAAAAAAUUAAAAAGUAGUAUGAAAUGGAAGUACUGAAAUAUGUCUUGACUGUUGUCUGUUGCACGCAAGAGUUCACAAUGUAGCAGGAAAGAAGUCUUGAACAGAAAUUUGUAUUUAAGAGGCAGCCAGCUGCAGAGAGUAUAAUUCUGUGUUAUUUGCUUCUAAGCCAUCUGUGUUGUUAAGCAGAUGGUAUACAGAAUAUCGUACCUGCUGCAGUUUUACUUUUGGUUAGGGUUUCUUUGAGGUCUCAGAGAUAAGAAGUUAUAUAAAAGACAAAAGCUUUGCAUUCUUGCAUAUUUGGCACUCUCUACGAAGCUCAUACUCCUGAAUUCUUCUUUGCCUGCUAAAGCCUGCAGAAGGGAAAGGCAGGAAUGGGUUUUCUUUUGGCAGCCUAUCUAUAUUGCAUUGCACAAGAUUACAGGAAACCAAUCUGCACAAGUGCAGUUGUUAAAAAAAUCAUGCCCUCAGAAGAACUUGUCUCCUCCUGUUACCAAAAGGUGUUUGGAAUAGUUUCACUUUGAGAAAGUCUCUUUAGUAAAUUACAAAUUAUGCCAUGUGUGAAAGAACAGUUCUAACCCCUCCCCUUCAUAGGCGUACAAGUAGAGAUAGACAGCUCCGUCAAUCUUGAUUUCUUUCAGUUGCUCAUUUAUCCAGUCUUAAAUUUUGUUCUCUGUAUUUCCACAACAGUUAAUAAUAAUAAUAAUAAUAAUAAUAAUAAUAAUAAUAAAUCAUGGAAAUGUUGUGUAUGCCGUUUCAGGUAACAGACACAUUUUUGUAAGCAAUUUCCCCCAUUUUUGUAUGCUAUUUUCAGAAAUACACACACGUGUUUAUAUAUGCUUGACCCUGAUAUACGCAUUUUUGUACACAUUGGUUGAUUAGAGAACUGCAUUGCAAAAUCCGGAGAUGUGUGAAUACUGAAGGAGAGUUGUGCUUUGGUUUGCACAUUGGUUUGAUAAGUGCACAUUGGCUAGUCUCAUUAAAAUUCAAAUAAAAGCAAAUUACUCCUCCUUCCCUGCUUUCAAGACAGAAAUUAGAGUCUUUAAAUAUUGUGUAAUGAAAUCUUAAUCACCUAAAGCAGUGCUUUUCCCCCUGGGGGUAUGCAGGGGUACGCAUACCCCUAAACAUUUUGUGAAUCUUUGUGCUUUUGUCCAUUUACUGUAUUUAUUUUCCCCAAUCUGAACUAUAAAAUGGUGAUUUUCUUGAGUCAAAAUGAGAGUACCCCUAAACAUCUUUUUUUAAAGAAAAAAAGCACUGACCUCAAGUGUGAAAGCUAAAUUUUUGCACGGCAGUGAUAAAUGUUUUAAUAUUUGCUUUUUGCCAUGUGCAACAACUACAGUUGAUCCAAGAUGUCUUUUGAACUCUGGACUUAUUUUCAUGGUAGGCCACACUACUGUUUACAAUUUUCCAUGGAAAACUGCAUGUGACGCUAGUUGGUGAAAACCCAUUGAGCAUAUACACAUAGGACUGCUCUAUAAGAUUUGGGACCCCUCUCCCCAUUUUCCUCUGUGUCAUUGGGGAAUUUACAGAAGACUUCUCAUUGCGUUUUUUGCUGACUCAAGUCAUUAAUCAACUGAUUAUCUGCAUAGAUUCACAUAUGAAUACAAGUAUAUUAUUAAAGAAGCAUGCAUUUAUUCUCCCUAUGGGCCGAAGUCUUAGAAUCAUAGAAUCAUAGAAUCAUAGAAUCAUAGAGUUGGAAGAGACCACAAGGGCCAUCGAGUCCAACCCCCUGCCAAGCAGGAAACACCAUCAGAGCACUCCUGACAUAUGGUUGUCAAGCCUCUGCUUAAAGACCUCCAAAUAAGGAGACUCCACCACACUCCUUAGCAGCAAAUUCCACUGUCGAACAGCUCUUACUGUCAGGAAGUUCUUCCUAAUGUUUAGGUGGAAUCUUCUUUCUUGUAGUUUGGAUCCAUUGCUCCGUGUCCGCUUCUCUGGAGCAGCAGAAAACAACCUUUCUCCCUCCUCUAUGUGACAUCCUUUUAUAUAUUUGAACAUGGCUAUCAUAUCACCCCUUAACCUCCUAUUCUCCAGGCUAAACAUGCCCAGCUCUCUUAGCCGUUCUUAGUCUUGCAUGUCUUUCCACAAUCAUGGUGGACUCUGAAACCCCAGAUUGUAUUUAGAUGGGUGUAUAACAUGGUGGAUUUUAAAAGAUACAAAAUAAAGCAGGACAUAGAUUCUACAAGUUUUGCAUAUCAAUAUCAAUGUGUUGGUUCUUUUUCUAUUAUGGUAGUUAAAUGGCCAGACAUGUAUUUAAGAUGAACACAAAUUUCUUCUGGGUUCAUAUUGGAAAAUAAAAUGGUGCUCGUCUGUGUGGGGAACUUAAUUGUCACUUCUCCCUACAACCCAAUAACCCCAAGUGUUAUAUGAGACUACCUUUUUAUUGACCAUUUAUCUUGAUUUGCUUUCAUAAAAUUUGUGUGAUUGUUUUACUACACCUGCUGUUUGUUGAACAUUCAUUCUUACUUGUUAGCCCACACCUUCCACUGCAUUUCCUCAUCACUUUUCUUACAGCAAAAAGCCAUUUUUAAUUUUGGGUUUGUUUGGGUUUGGGAAGUGGGUUUGUUGUAUAAGAGACUGCAAUUCAAUUUAACUGCACAAGCUAAAUUUUCUGGUGUAUGAUUGAGUCCUGCCCACAAAAGAGUGACCUUCUGGAAGUGACCCAAAUCAGCAGUUAUGGGAAGGCAGAUACUUGGUUCAUGUAAAGGCAACUCUGUUCAGUAAAUUUCAGACUUCUGAAAGACAGAAUCCAUCGUUGAGAAGCAUAAGAAAGACAGAAGCCCACAUGUACACGGCAAAUAUUCUGCAUGCCUUCAUAGCAUGAAGUGUUUUGUUAAUCGGCUUUGGACAAUAACCAAAGUGAGAAUGCUGGGCAAACAGUGAAGCCGAAAACCUGGGCAGGACUGUUAAUACAGUAUGUUCUUCAUAACACAUAAUAUAAAACAAGAUUUGGAGGAUUACUGCCUUCAAACCCGCAACACUUGCGUCACAGACUUCUUGGAAAAUGAAAGAAGGAAUCUCCAACAUUUGGUUUUAAUUGUAAAAUUACGACUUGCUCAGAACAUCUGUACAUAGGAAAAUCUAACAUUCUGACUGUGAGACUAGGAUCCAUAAAACUCCUUUUUUCAAUAAGACUGCUGAACUGCAGAGGCUUGCUCAAGGGGGCAGAGCCGUAGCAAUAGCCCCUCAACAGUGGUGUUGCCAAAAUGGCUGAAACCUAGUGGAAAUGGAUCUAGAUUGACCUGUUUUAACAAGGAUAUCCUGAAGUUGUAGAGCAACCACCCACUUGAGCACUUUGUCAAGAAAGGCAUUGUUUUCAAGCAUCCAAAUAGUUAUUUCAGUCUUCGCAUCUAGGGACGGAUUUUCAAGAGAGGCUGCACAACCCUCUCUUUCAGAGUGGCUGGAACGGACCCUUUCUCAAGGAGGCAUCUACGCAGCCUCUGACCAACCUAUCCCUGCCUGUCCAGUGUUAUGAUUCAAAAGGGCCAACGCUACAGUCGGUAGGUCACACAUGUGCAAGAACCCGGUCCAUAUACUUGGACCUCAAUAACUGUCGUUCCUCCAGUAGAGCAGGACCAGACAGGUCACAGUCUCCUCAGCAGCACACGAGCGAUUCUCUAUCCAUCUAAUAGAUGACUGACACAAGUGACUAAUUAAACUGCAGUCGAACUUGAAGUGAUUACCUGAACCGGGAGAGAGAGAGAAUUGUGCUCUUCAGCAUGAUGCUAUCUGCACUGUAUUUCCAAAACGUUUGAUGAGAUAAGACAAGCUAAGCAUGAUAUAUGUUGCUUCUUGAGGUGGAAGAUAAGGGAGGGGCAGGGAGCAUGCGAAGCGAUGUGCAGACAAGAAGCUUGUGAUACGAAAGGAGUUAAUGGUAUGCAGUGAUUUUACCUCUGUGAUAGGAAGUGUAGGAACAGCCUGCUCCCUGGAAUACAUCGCCAUCUAAGCUGCAAAGGUUUCAGUUCCAUGGCAACACGGAAGGACCAAUUGUGUUCAAGGUGUAGGUAUUAUUAAUACAUUCAGAAGGAGAGGUUAGGGUUGUGUGUGUGUAUGUGUAUUGGAGGGGAGGGGGAAGAACAGGAAGUAAGCAUUCAGAAUCUUUACUUCAAUUUAAUCCAUUUAAUCUAGAAUAAAAGUUUGUGUACUUUGGCAAAAUGUGAUGCGACCUACACAUUCCCCUUGGUCUUCAUAGUACCGUAGACAUAUUCCCUCCCCGCAUCGUUUAGAACAAACUGCAGAUACUGACACGAUAAAGGGAUUUAAAAACCAACAACGUUGCACAUUUUAUUUGGCUGUAGCACUGAAAUAUGAGCUCAAGAUAAUAAAAAUAGCCCCUGAGAUUAUGGGGUGUUGCCCAAGAUAUGCAGGUUUAGGCAAGGGUACACAGAAGAAGAGGAAUGUAUUUUUCCCGGAGACACAAUGCUUUCCUGCUGAUCGUAUCCUCCUUGCUGUUUUCCCUCUGCCUCCUGCAGGCUUCCUCUUGCCAUCCCUGACUGAGAAGCGGAGAUCUUCCCAGUGGUCUGUUUCUUUCUUUUUGUUACAGAAGCUAUAAGCAAGUAAAUAGUGCCCUGACACUCUACAGUAUUUCUGUUUCUGAUUCUGACACUGGUCUAUUGUGUGCAGUGCAGAGGUGGGACUCGUUGAGAAUGUCAGGGUUUCAAAGCAGCCAGAUGGAGAAUCUCUGCUUUUUGCAGUAGCAGCAUAUGGAGUGCCAGUGCUAGUAAGUUAACCAGGCAGACAUAAAUCUGGCUUUGUUGAGUAAAUGAAGAUGUAUUUGCAGCUGUUUUUUGCACCAGAAUGUGCAAUAAAGUAGAAUAUGUCAUUUUGUUUUCAUUAGGGUAACACAAGUGUUAACUGCUAGAUGAAUAGGAAUCUCUGUUCUUUUGUGUUCUUUGAAAAGAAUCUGUUGCUAUAUACAUCCCAAACGCUAAAAUCAGUCACUAAACUUUCUAUUUGUGUUCACUCUUCGGUAGGAAGAAUAAUAUCAGGCGCUAUAAUGGAUUCAUUCUGACAUAAUGUUUUGUGUGCUUUUUAAGGGAGUAUGAAGACGUUACAUAGGCAUAGAGCAACGUAAGAUUUCUGUAGUGGAAUGUGCAAGUUCCACUCUGUAGAGACAACAGAUUCUGCUUGCAUAUCCCACUCCAGCAAGUGUUCUGAUUCCUGCGUAACAUAUCUAUGUGCAGGCUUGUAAAAACCACUUGCCUGGUCACCUGUGGCGAGUAAGAAUUGCUGCUAGGCAACAGGCAAAGCUUACUACAUUGCUUUUUUAAAGACCACAAAUUGCUAACAUAAGUGUACGCACGCAGCCAAGCAUAUAAAAUAUUUUGUGGUCUAGUAACUUUUGUGGAAUUGUUUGUAACUGUGUAUGUGCCUGCAAGAUCAUUUUGGAAAAAGCAACAGUGUGGGUGCAAAUAUGUCAUGUUUGACUUGGCCUAGCUUCUCUUGAAGAACUUUUAGAAGACAUCUGAAGGCAGCCUUGUUUAGAGAAGUUUUUAAUGUUUGGCGGACUAUUGUAUUUUAAUAUUUUGUUGGAAGCCACCCAGAUGGCCUGGGUAUAAAUAAAUAAAUAUUAUAUAACAUAAUGAUGGAAAAUCCAUAGCUGCAUGUGGAAGACCAUCAUCAUGACUAUUUUAUCUUGUGAACAGCUCUGGGAUCUUUUUAUGAAGGGCAGUAUAAUAAUAAUAAUAAUAAUAAUAAUAAUAAUAAUAAUAAUAAUAUAUUUGUAAUGUCAAAGCUGUGGACCUGGGCAUAGUUUGGUGGACCAGAUGUCAUCAAAGUCUGUUGGAUUUAAGCAGCCUGUGCACAUGCAGGAACACAGCACUUAAGAAGUCCCAAGGUAGAUUUAACAAUAAUAAUAAUAAUAUGGAAUUUUAGUCAUUUUGAAGAACUGAGUACCUUUGGAACUGAACCCCCCCCCCCCAUUAAUAAGAAUUUCUGUAUACUGCACUUUGUGGUUUCCGUUCAGAAUAAACGAAUUGACAAAUAAAAUAUUUGUAGUAAAAUUAACAGUGUGGCUUCUUCGGCCUCUUCUUCCUCACUUCUUUGCUUAUAGUGAACAUACAUCCGAUAUGAAUUGGUUGUGGGGCCUUGUGAGUUGUACAUUGUAAAAUCAGGUUACUUCAGGGGAGCUGGGAUUGUAAUCCGAGUAGAGCAGGUUUUCUGAACCUGCUCACAGAUCCAUUUCUCAGGGUUAAAUGAAGAUGAUGAACCAAUGAGAAUUGCUUUAGAAGGAAAGGGGGGGAAGUAAGAGACACGAGUGGGGAAAAAGAACGGAAAAUAGAUUAUACAUGGCAUGCCUACAUUAGACUUAAAACUACAGUGGUACCUCAGGUUACAUAUGCUUCAGGUUACAUACACUUCAGGUUACAGACUCCGCUAACCCAGAAAAAGUACCUCGGGUUAAGAACUUUGCUUCAGGAUGAGAACAGAAAUCGUGCUUUAGCUACCGUGUGGCGGCAGCAGGAGGCCCUAUUAGCUAAAGUGGUGCUUCAGGUUAAGAACAGUUUCAGGUUAAGAAUGGACCUCCAGAAUGAAUUAAGUACGUAACCCGAGGUACCACUGUAGUUUCCUGGUCAUUCCUCUUCCCUGGGUAUCUUUGGAGCUAUAGAUCUGGGUUUGUAUGAUGGGAAGAAGCUAAUGAUUUCUAGCAGGUAAUUAUCAGAACUGCAGCAACCUGCAGCCCACAGAAUGCUUGCCGGGGGGGGGGGGCACCAUGACGGCUAAAAAUAUGUAACUGAUGCAAAUAUGGAGAUGACCAGCAAUGAUAAAAUAUCAAGAAAUGGAGAGAAUGCAAAACAAAAGUGGGAUGCUGUUGUAGCUUGUGAUUUGUUUAUUUUUGUUUUAGCUUCCCAUCUACCAUGAACUUGGAGAAAGCAAGCUGAAAAAUGCUGGGGUUGUGGGGGAGAGGUAUGUCUGGCUUUAAGCUACAGCAAGACUGAAUGAAGGAAAAGAUGAGGGAAAGGAGUUAUGAGCUGAGAAGCAAACAGGAUGUAGAAAUGCUAAUAUAUCAUUUUUAAAGCUGAGCAUCGAGGAACGGUGGGGACCCAAAAUAAAGGGACAUUCAACAGUGGGUUCAAGGUCAGUGAGGUGAUGUUAGCAAGGCAGGGCGUCUCAAGAGAGCCAGCCAAACGGCUUUGUAUUGGGAAAUGGGAUUAAAGGAGAACACUUAGUAUUCUGUGUAGGCUGAGUGGCAGGAGGGAAUCCCCAUAUAUUACGUUAUCUGAUGGCAAAUAUAUUAUUUCUUCUAUCCCAGGAGGAGAACUUAAAUCAAAGCUCAAUGUAGAUCAGGUGAAUUGUAAUAGAGUAAAAUUAUUACAUUGGAUCAGCUGAGAUCAAGCCACCUCAAGCAGGAAAAAUCAGUUUUGUGGUUUCAGCUGAGCGUUCAAAAUGUAUCUAUGCAUAAUUCUUCAGCUUUGUGAAAACACUCUACAUGUACCAAAUAAAUAGCUAUAUAUACUCGGAUGUAGUAAUACUCAGAUGUAGUGGGUCAGAAUGCUUGGGUUCUGCAUUUUGGAAUUUUAAUGUGUUAGGUUGAAUAAAUUACACAAGAUAGUUUUCAGAAAAAAUAUAUAGCAUAUUUUGAUGCACUUCUGUUAUGGUAAUAUAUUAGCUGGAAUGUGUCUUUCAUAUGGGCUGUCUUUUUUCUUAGACUAGGUAUAGUUGCCGUGUGUCUCUUAUAUAAGAACAUAAGAAGAGCCUGCUGGAUCAGGCCAUGUGCUGUUGCAUGUACCAGAUACAUGAUGGGCGAGCCCAAAAGGAGCUUUGGGAAGAGGCAGCACGAACAGUAGAGAGGGAGGAAUGCUUAAUCCCUUCCUCACUUCCUGCUUCUCUUUUUGAAAUAGAUCCGAACUGCUUUCUCUCCUCUUACAAGGUUCUCUAUAAGGUUUAGCCUCACAUUUGGAGCCCCACUGGGGUUGAUGGUGAAGGAGUAACUUGGGGAAGGGUUUAGAUAAAUGGCAGAUAAAUGUGCCCUCCCUCUUGGUGUGCCUCCAUUUCGCACCACCCCUUCCCAAUUACGUUGACACUGUAGGUAAUAAUACAUAUGAAAGGAAGGGGCUAGGACCCUGAAACAUCUUUCUCUGAAAGUUACAUAUGCAUUUGCAUGCUAAUACUCAGUUUGGGCCUUGUACUUCUUAUGUUUUACCUGGCUGACACAGUAUACCUUGGGGUUGGAAACUAGUAAAUAUGAUGUCUCAACACACCAGGCUUACGCACCUGUGCCAUUCCGCUCCACUGAAGUUGAAGGUAGACCACAGCCAUGUGUGGCAGUGCGCUAGCAACCCAUGAGUGGAAUAGGUGUUUAUUUGUGUGUGUGUCAAAACACCUGGGAGGCCACAAUAAAGGAUCAGGGGGUUGUGUUUGACUUGGAGGGUGGUGUGAUGCUUUCUGUAUAUAUAGUCAUAGACUUCCAAGGACAAACAAAGAAUUAGUUACCCACUAGACACAUCAGGAUCUAUGAGAACUAUUCUUAUAAUUCAGAUCAGAUUCUUUUUUCUUUUCUAUUUUUUACAAUGAAGGAAGUAUUUUCCACUAUUGUUAUGGGGCAAGUUGCUGUGUAACGCCUCCCCCCUCCCACCGCCAAGCCCCCCAACACAGCACAUGUUAAUUUGUAUUACUCACUUACUUCCCUAAGUAUCAGUUUUCAAGAGGUUCCUGUAAUGUGGCGGUGAAGCCAGUUCUCUGGGCUCUCAAGUGCCUCCUCUUUCGGUUUGUGUCUCUAUCAUUACGGCAAACUUUUUCACUUUGGGGCUUAGGGCACCUUGGCUUUUAAAGUGGAAAUGUCAAGCACCUUCUGGUACUGGAAACAUGAAACGUGUGACUGCCUGCGGAGCAGCAAACGCUAAAGCCUCAACCUGUGGGAGUUGAGAGAUGCCUGGCAAGCUUUGCCCUGCCAGCAUGAGCCUUUGUAGUGGCUGGAAGGAGAUGGGAUGAAGUUGCUGCCAGUGCUGCUCUCUGCAUAUUAUUACUUGCCUGCUGAUACGCCCACUCCUGGGGCUCGAAGUCCUCAGGCUUCCUGUUGUUGAAAGCUGCCUGCUUGUAAGCAGAGCGCAGAGCAGUUGUGAAACAGUGACAUCAAAUACGGUCCCGCUCCUCUUCCAAAAAUAAAUGUCCCCCUCUGGCUUUUCUUACUCUCUGCUCCCUUUGUUCCCCUGGGUGUCAUUCUUCAGGAAAGCACGAAAUGCUUCCCGCCUCUCCUGCUCCAAUGUGGAGUUUACUACUUUUAAUUUUAGAAUUCUCUGCUUAGGUGGUGGGUCAAAGCUCAGUGCAAUACUUGUGCAGCAUGCUGAAUGUCCCUGGUUCAUUGUCGUCUCCAGGAUCUCCAGUAACAGGAAUAGGCAAGACCUUUGGAGAGAUGGCACUAGUAUGAAUAGAUGGCUCUAGGAUAAACAGAGCAAGGGCCAGCUCCUUAUUGAUCCCAAAGAGGACUGGAUCGUGAUCUGCAAGCUGGGGGCUUUUCAUGGCACUGUAGAGAACUCAGAUGUUUGGAUAUUUCCCCAGGGGCAGAACCUCCUAUAACUUAUUCGGGGCCUUGCUGGCCAGAGCUCGCAGCCUCACAGAAGCCCCAAAGGUUACAAAAUAAGGUGAGGGCUGCUUAGUCAGUUAGCCAGCUCCUGUGGCUUCAAGCCUGUGUAGCCUAUGCAGCCUAGAGAAGGCUUCAGCUGGCUCUUGCUCCCAGCAGAGACAACGUUGCUUGUUAAUUGCCAUAGCAGGACCCCUUGGUGCUGUCCAAGGUCUUGUAUACUCUCUGCCAAAACUUGAGUACAAAAUGGCUUCAAGUCCUAUUCCAUCACAGUCAAUGUUAGAGACUGAGGAUGGCACCAAGAGAGAGAGACAGAGACAGACACAGACAGACAGACAGACAGACAGACAGACACACAGAGAGAGAGCGCGCACUCUGUAUCCCUUCCUUUGUGGACAUGUUGUGCCCAUCAUAUCUCAAGGAAGCAAGUUAGUCUUCUAAUAUAGCUUCUAUUUCUACCAGUUUUUCCUCAAUCUGGGAGUGGCAUGUCUUUGGAACUGGAACUCAAAAGUAUUGGCUUUACUGUUUCUGAGGAAGAGUGGACAAGCAGAAUUGACCAGUGUUUAUAAAAAGUAUUUAGCUGCUUCUGCAUCUCUCUUCUCUGGCUUAUAGAAUGCCAGAUUCAUUUUCUCUGUAGGGGUGCUAUUUCAGAAUUAAGUGAAAAUGGGAGGUUCAAAGUUCAGCUCAGUCUAAGAGCUAACUUUCAAGGUUGAACACUGAGAACUCAGUCACUCUGUACAACGUAGCUGUGAUUAUUUUCUACCCUUUUUAAAAAAAAAAAAACCCACAUAGGAAUUGAAUUUAGGCUUGGGCGACUAAUCAGUCAAAUUGUUUUCAUAGUUAUAUUAAUGAAAGGGAAACCAAUGACAUGAUAGAGAAAAUGAACUUGGGCUUGACUGUGGGGUCCUAGUAAUGUUUUUUCCAUUCCUGCAGUUGGGGCUAGUCUCUUUCUAGGUGCAAAACUCUUAAUUCAGGUGAAGGUAUUGGAAGGGCAAGAGAGAUGCAGGGCUGCCUUGGCAUAUGACAGCUGGGCAAGAAAGGAGCUAGGGCACAGGGAACUGUGAAAAGCUCAUUGGGGAUGUCCUUGAGAGAAGGUUCCUAGCUUUAUUUUAGGAGCAUGGUGAGCUCUAUGAAGGGUCCCAGAGAGGAUGACUUUUGCAGCUCCAAAUUACUAUGCCUUCUUAAAUGCCAUCAGUAUGACAGUGUUUUGGACAUAGCGUCUAUUUCCACUUUUAUCUCUUUUGCAGUCUGAAGCAUUGCUAUACUCUUCAAAACUGCUGUUUUGUUCCUAUGUAGAAUUAUGCAGAUUUAUGUGACAAAGUCGCUAAGAUUUCUUUAGUCAGGUGACAGGCAUGCUUCAAACUAUUCUGUAGGAGCAACCGUAGGUAUGCAGCAACCCCACCAUUCAAGUGAUGGUUGAACUGAGUUUGACUGGCAGAUGACUGAGGGAGCUGCUGAUGUCAUGCCUAUGCUGGUAGAGCUAUGGCUUUCCCUGGGCAUAGGGAAUCCCCUGCCAGCUGGCUCAGCCAAUUUUGACUCUGUUUUGUGCUUGAUAACCUGGUGAAUAUAAAGGAAAACAAUUCCAUUGAGUUACGGAAUUUCCUUCCUGAGCGGGGCUUAUAUUUUACAAAAGAGAACAAUUUAGUAAUUCUCAAUGGGAAUCGCAACCCAACUAUAUCCUGCUCAGACUGUUCUGCUGCGGUUGUGUCCAAUUUUCAGGCAGAUGAGAGAAAAGGCUGGCAAAAACUGCUGCUGCUGCUGCCUCUAGUUACUUUCUACAUUAGGAAUCUUGGCUCGAAAAUGGAGAAGAGGCGAAUAGCAGAGAUUGGAGCUAGGUGAUCCAGGGCUGUUGUUGCGUUGGCAGAGUGCAUUGCAAGUUGUGGUGGCUUUUUCCACCACUAUCUGUUGGGUAGCAAGAUUUCUAUCUAGGGAAGCUUGACAGAAAAUGGUAUAAGGAGCCUUGCUGAAGAGCAGAUUACAGCAUGGAUCAUCUUCCUUCCAUGGUCUUUAGGCAUCAAGUUCAAUCCUGUUUUUGGUCAGUUGGGAAUUUUCCAACCUUGGACAUCCUUGCUUGUAUGAUGGUAGUUACAUAAGAGACUGGGGGGGGGGGGAGUUAGAAUAGGAAAAAUAUAAAGCUGUAGAAAAAGAUAACCAAAUCUAAAUGUCAUGGAUUAUUUCAUUACAAAUAUAUAUUUCAGAAUUGAAUAUCUAUUCUCCUUUAAAGACAUCUGAUUAGAGUUCAUUAGCUCCUCUCAUGUAUUUCAAGAUCCUCAUAGGUGGGAGGAGGAAAAUGGUCAAUCUCCUUGCUGGCGAGAGAUUUUUUUGUGAUAAUGUUGUAGGGUUGACUUCACUCUGGUGAAAGAACACAUAAAGCUUCCCAGUGUCUUGAUGACGUAUUGUGUACGUUUUGAACCCCUCUAAUAUUUUUAUGUUAAACUUUGUUCUGGUGGGCCUCCCCCCUGCCCUGCCCUGCUCUAAAAUUUGAUUGGUUUUAUCUCCCAUGUUCUGUAGGAAAUGAAUUGCUGCUUUCUUGGAUGCUGGUGACAAUUACAGGGGGCAACAGAGGCGAGAUGCUGAUAGGAGACUGGAGGAGAGAAUAAGCAUCAGACUUCUCCCGGGAACUUGCUUGGGAUAAAUCAGCUAGAAGCCACCAAUGAAUAUUUCUAAAGAGGGCUGUUAAACUAGGGCAAGCAGAACUGCCGGCGUUUACACACAGGAGAGAAACGUGAGUGCUUAGCGAAAUCUCGGUGCUAAAAAUAAUUUGCACUUUUAUUUAUAACAAUGUUAUCAUCGUCGAGGAAAGUUAGGCAGAAUUGUGCAUGGCAGGGCAAAAAAGACUCUCCCCACUGCUUAUUGCAGUGCAGGGAUAGAGACACACAUCUUUUCACUGUUCUAAAUAACAGUGACUUCCAUUCUGCUAUAAGUGAGGGUCAGUAGUUGCUGUUGGCUGCUUCAUAAAGCCAUAUACUUUUCAUUACAUAGAAGAAUUCAAAUAAGGCUACUCUGAUUAAGAAUCGGCUAUAUGACUAUUCCUAUGGAAUUUGGUGCCAAGUACACUCCAAAAUUCUUUUAAGUCUUGCAUUUAAAAAAACAACAUGGCUUCGUAUUGAAUAUAGCUUCAUAUUGAGAAGCAGAACAUGAAUGAUUGUAGCCAUCUUUAAACAAUAGAAUGAUAGAAUUGUUGAGUUGGGGCCCUGAGGAUCAUCUAGUCCAACCCCCUGAAAUGGAGGAAUAUGCAGCUGUCCUAUAUGGGGUUCAAAUACCUUGGCACUAUCAGCUUCAUGCUCUAACAAAAAACAUGGGUUUGUGGGUAUAAUGUUCCAGCUGCUGUAACUCACAUUUUGAAACACUUUUUAGUUUAUAAUUUUUGUUGGUUUACCAUAUACAAAAAAAGUAAGUUUAAAUAUAUGGCAACACUAGUUAUCUCCAUAAGUUUCAGUCAAGAGUUUGAUAUUCCCUACUUAAUUUUCUAUGGCUACAAUAUUGUAACACUUACCUGGGGGUAGAGUCCACUGAACUAAAACGAGUUUGCUUCUUCAUUAUUAAUGAUACAGUAUUUUACCACACAAUUCUCUACAUGUCUACUUGGAAAUAGGUUCUGUUUGAGUUCAUUGAGACUUAGUCCCAGGUAAGUGGGUAUAUGAUUACAGCCUUGGUGGCCUUUUGGAAAAAGGAAAAAGUUCCAUCAACUUUGCGCAUG
rnacentral:lncRNA from 1 species